UAUUAAAUCCAACACUAUUUCAUAUUCAAAUCAAGAAAACUUCAAGUCGAAUUAAAAUCAUCCAUCAUAUAACGUCACAUAAUACAUCUCAUAGGUUUACAUAACACAAUAACUUAUCUCAUGAAUACAUUUCCUUACACAGGAAUAUAGCAAGAAGGGACAGAAUUGCACAAUAGAACAAUGGCACAUCUGCUAACAAUGGAGUUCGAGGGAGGCGGUCACGGACACCGGCCUCUACGCGAUGCCGCCACUCGAGGGGAGCGCUCCGAAGGGGAGCAGUCCUUUCGGAACGAGGCUCAUGGAUGGCACCGUGUUUGCUUACUGUGGAUGAAACGAACAGAAAGAACGUCAACAUCAAUCAGAGACAGGAAACAAUCGUUAGUACACAGAUUAAUUAUGCACCCAGUCAACCAUGUACUUUUCCUAAGUUUAGUGCUAUGUAUCACUAAUUCAGUCCAACUGAACUGACAAAUGCUACGGGCAGAACUCCCAUUAGCAUCACAAAUCAGAAGAACAUACCCCCUAAGUCUGAACAACUAGUCCUCGCUUGCGACUACCCAGAUGAUACAAUGCAACCGAUGCGAUUUAGUAUGAUAACAAAGUGUCAGUUUGACCGCCAACUCAGAACAACAAUUAAUUUGUACACUAUCUGACACGCAAGUGAACGACCAAUAACAGAUGCUCUAUUUAACAGUACCUUGGUGAUGACACACUCUGGAGCCAAUUUCCUCAAAUGCACAAACAGUAGUGUAUGGAAAUCUGAGUUCAAAUGCUACAACAGUAACAAGUUUUUUCAGUGUGUAAAUCAUGUGUUGAACAAAGCAGAAUAAUCAUAAACAAACAAAACAACUGCAGAUCCCACUACAAUGUCUGACAAAUAGCUUAGAAGUAUCUCUGCUAUUGUACUAAGCUCAAAUGAGAGGCCAACAAACCAAUCAAGCAACCUAUUGCUUUAAGUUAAGCCAAGUGUGAGCUAGUAGUGAGUGCCAAGUGCCAGCCAUCAUGAACGCAAGGGCACAUCAUCAUACCAACAAUUCAUGCCAUGAAACUACAGGGGUGAAAGGGAAAGGGAAUUCACUACUCUACCUUAACCACUAGUGUCUUGAAACAGAAAAUGUUUGGUGCAUCGACACCGUUCAAGUAGGCCUUCACCUCCAGGAUGCCAGAGCCAGCCGCCGCGGGCGCCACGUACACCGUCAGCACCGUGGCGAACAUGGUGAGCAGGAGAUUCAAACAUAGGAAGACCAGGAACGCCGAUUCGAACCUGACGGGGUAUCAAUUUUGAGUCAGCACUGCAAGUCAAGUUGGUAUUCACACCGAAAGCUCACCAGCACGUCGGCUACUCGGCAGCGCUUGUCGCGGCAGAUCUGAAGAGCAGGAAAUGGGAGAGAAAACUCGCUCAGAUCUGAAGAAAAGCUCACAUGGCCACUCUGUGUCACUCGCGCGGCCACGCAUCGACCAUCACGAUAGCAACAGGCCGAGGGCCAAGAAUGCGCUCCCGGACCGGAUCACGGCGGAGGUGUAGGACUCCGGCGGAACCCCAAGAGGCGGCAGGAGCAGGCACCAAGAGAGGCGGGCGUUGAGGUCCAGCCCGCGGCGGCGAGAAGCGAGCGAUUUGUUGCAUGCGGGCGCUUCAAACGGGGGCAACAACAACCCCACCACCGCAGCCCACUCCAAAGAUUCCCGCAAGAAAGUGGCGCUCACCCGCACAAGCAAGGCGCAUGGCACGAGACGAGACGGCGGCGCAGCAGCAGGGACACCGUGACUCACCUCGGGGCGGCGCGCGAUGAAGCCGGAACCGCGGCCGCAAGCUUUGCUCGAAGGCGACGGACGGACGACGGUCGCCCCCGCCCCCCCGCACCAGCGGCGACCAGCUUAGCGGAAGGUGUGAACGAAGGAGCAAAGGGGAGACCAGGGAGUAAUUCUCCGUCGUCAUUUGUUUUUCUUGCAACCGAGGGCCGCCGGUCCGUAUAAUAUUGCGGCCGGGCCCCUCGCGCUGUGGAAAAUGGUGGGCAUGAGCGGCACCAUUCCCACCCCUCCGGUGAGCGCGUACACCUCGAUCCGCACAACGAGCGUUAGCGCCGAGAGAAGAACCAAACACGCAGAGGAGGGUGACGAAGGGCAGUACCUCGCGCGAGACGCCAUCGGGCUUGCGAUGCGGCUCCUUGGGCGGCCGCCGCUUCUUCUCCUGGGCGGACGGGAAGGAGGUAUUCUGGAGCUCGAGUAUGUCCAUCGUGGACGGCCGGAGGAGGAUGGUGACGCCGGCGGGUCGAGCUCCAGAACCACAGGCGGAAGGGAAGACAAGGUAGCAGCGACGGCCACUUGGCACGGUCCUCGUCGGUGGGGACGGGCUCGCCGAGGAACUCGGGCUCCCGGUCGCCGAGGCGAGCUGGGCGGCGCCAAUGGAUCGGAUCUGGGAGGGAGGGAGGGAUGAGGGAGUGUGUGUGGCUGCACACGGGGGUUGGAAAAAUGUCCACAGGACAAAACUAGGGUUUCAACUGGGAGGCGAGGGCUGCCGUUGGAUCCGGGAUCAUCCGACGGUCUUUGAUGCGUGAUCCGUGUGACAUACCCAUUGACCAAGCAGAACAUGGGAUUCCAACAGAAGCGACUCAAAUAAUUAAUCUUAUGGCCAAAUUCAUGGCAUAAUUUGUUAAACUAACAUCAUAUUGUGCACAAGGGUGCAUCUUGGAAUUGCAAACAAUGUUGGCUAAGGAAGUUUUCAUUUUCUUUGGACGGAAAAAUCAUUUUCUAUUUUUCGAGUGCCCAAAAUGAGUUUUCUGUGAAGGACCUACCAUACAUUUGUUCCAAAAUUGGACCAAAUCAUUUUUCUAACAUACUAGGCCACAUUUAAUGUACAAUUGACAAAAUAGUUUGGUGUCAAAAGCUUUUAUCCACCUCUCGUGAAAAAGACAAAUUUUCGUUGAAUCUGCUGGAAGCGGGCCAAAUUUGAACUGCAGCUACAUUAUAGUUUGCUCUUUAUUUUGCCCAAAAAUUAUUUCUAGGUACAUAAGUAUCCAUUUAAUCAGAGAAACACCAAAAUAUUUUCAAGAUUCAAUCACUAGGUAGGAACGGUCAUACCCGCAGUUUUGACCGCAUUUUGAAAUGGGCAUGAAAAAUUUAAAAAUAAUUCAAAAAAUUGGAAAACCAUUGCAUUGUGUCAUUAUAUGUGACAAAGUUACGAGGAAAAAUAAUAAACUUCUAAUACGACAAUUUUUUUUAAAAAGUGUUUUAGAAAUGGGCUGUCAUGUGUGAAGAUUCAUGGCUUUCAAGACAAAUGAUCAAUCUUAUGGCCACAUUCAUGACAUAGUUUGUUGAAAUGAUCUCAUAUUGUGCACAAGGGUGCAUGUUGGAAUGGCAAACAUAGUUUAUUAAGGAAGUUUUCAUUUUCUUUGGACGGAAAAUCCAUUUUCCAUUUUUCGAGUACCCAAAAUGAGUUUUUUUGUGAGGGAUCUACCAUACGUUUGUUCCAAAAAUGGACCAAAUCAUUUUUCGAAAAUACUAGGCCAUAUUCAAUGUACAAUUGACAAAAUGGUUGGGUGUUAAAAACUUUUAUCCAACUCUCGUGAAAAAGACAAAUUUAUGUCGAUUCAACUAGAAGCGGGUUAAAUUUGAACUGCAGCUACAUUAUAGUUUGCUCUUUAUUUUCCCAAAAAUCAUUUAUAGGUACAUAAGUAUCUAUUUAAUCAGAAAUACAUGGUGUGGUGCCUUGACGUCGAGGUUUGGAUGGUGGUCGAGGGCCCCAACUCCAGAGCGCGUGAACCUGCAUGCCAGCCGCAUGGUCACCGCCUGACCGUUGCGUUGCCACGCAUUCUGGGUGGAAUAAGCAUGUGUGGUUGCUUGGACAAUCCCUCGGUAGGUGUUAGGAAGAAGAAUACAAUAGAAGAAUCUCACGAGGAGACUGAACUAAGCUCAAACAUGAAUUAGGAGCCAAGUUUUGGUUAACGGUGCGGGUAAUGCACAUAGACAAUUGGCCUAAAUUUUGACUGAGGAUGAUCAUCUACUAAGGAGACUCUCUUGGCAAAUUUUUAGCUCAAAUGGAUGAACUUAGGUGGCACUUGCUUUCCAAAGUAACACACUAUGCAGAAAUAUGGAUGUUGAAGCUGGGAUCAAAUGGAUGAAUGGAUUGAGCUGAAAUUUGGUGUAUGAUGUUAAUUUGGGCAUAUGAAGGCACUACAAAAAAAUUAUACCAAUUGGACAUGCCAAAGUGACACUUCCUUCACAAUGUGUCAAUCUGGACAGAAAAUGGUAAUUGAAACUGGGCUCACAUAGAUGAUUGGGAGGAAAUUUGGAGGAGGAUGAUAAUUUGGGCACGUUAAGGCACUGGAAAAAUUUCAUAAAAUUUGGAUAAACAAAAAUUGUACUUCCUUCACAAUGCUCUCUAUUGAACAAAAUAUUGGGAAAAAUAUUGAGGGAAACUGGCUGAAUUAAAUGAGCUAAAAUUUGGUGGAGUGAGGUUAUAUGGCCAGUUUCAUCCUGUGGUAAAUUUUCAUCAACUAUAAAAGCAAUAUAAAAUGUAGUUGCUUCAUAAAAUGAAAAUAUUACCAGAAACAAAGAUUGGCUGAUGAGCUCACAUGGAUUGUUAUAUGGGGCUAAAAUUUUGUGGAGAGCUAUGUUUUGGGCACAUAGAAUGUGUGGAAAAAAUUCAACUCAUUAGGAUAUUCCUAUCUAGUACUUCCUUCACAAAGCUGUUAGCUGAACGCAAACUUUGGAAAUUUGCGGAGAAAGAUUUACAAGGAAAAUGGUUCCAGAAGUUUUCAUGAGGCAAUGAUUUGGAUAGGAAAANNNNNNNNNNNNNNNNNNNNNNNNNNNNNNNNNNNNNNNNNNNNNNNNNNNNNNNNNNNNNNNNNNNNNNNNNNNNNNNNNNNNNNNNNNNNNNNNNNNNNNNNNNNNNNNNNNNNNNNNNNNNNNNNNNNNNNNNNNNNNNAGCAAUGAUUUGUAUAUGAAAGAGUGCCCAAAAAAUACGAGGGUAAUCAAAUAAAUAGAAAUAACACUUCCUUCACAAAGUGCUAUUCUGAACAGAAUAGCAAAAUGAAUAUUUCUGAUUUUUUUUUUGAACUAUGGAAGGAAGGGUUUUCACAUAUUUGAGGAAUAUAUGAUCUAAAUUAUUUAUGAGAAAUUUUCAAGAAUUUUUGGAAUGACAGAAUAGUAGGUUGCUUCACAAACUAGGCGGGUUUGGCACGUGACAUAGAAUGGAUCCACGAGUGACAUGUCAACAUAGUUAGAACAUGUUACGACAUUUUUAUAAUCGUCGUAAAAGUUAUGACGAUAUCAUCUUAUGCGGUUACGACGUUUUUGACUCACAUCGUCAUAAUUUAUAUGUAGAUUUGAUCCCCUGAAACGGUUUACGACAAUCUCGGAUGAAAUCGUCAUAGAUUUAUGGCGAAUUCAUCAAGGACGUCUUAAAAACGUCAUGUAUGAGCAUAUUUUUUGCAGUGACUAUCUAUCUUAGGGGNNNNNNNNNNNNNNNNNNNNNNNNNNNNNNNNNNNNNNNNNNNNNNNNNNNNNNNNNNNNNNNNNNNNNNNNNNNNNNNNNNNNNNNNNNNNNNNNNNNNNNNNNNNNNNNNNNNNNNNNNNNNNNNNNNNNNNNNNNNNNNNNNNNNNNNNNNNNNNNNNCUAUCUAUCUUAGGGGUGUGGGGCAUGGUGCGGUUUGUUAUUGGGGUGGGGGGAAUAGAAUAACUGCACUACGCAUGUCAACCAAGUGCACUGCCGCGUUAGUACGAGGCCAAGCCAGGAACGAGUCGGAGGAGGGGAUUACGCGGCUUGCCGCGUCACCGCAUGCUCCGGUGAGUCCAUCACACACGUGACCCCACUAUCUAUCUUACGGUUGUGGGGGCGUUUUGCGAUUUUUUCUUGGGGUGGGGGCGGGGGGAAUAGAAUUACCGCAUUGCGCCCACUACUAGAAAAACGGAUAUAGCUAAUAUGGACAUUAAUGGCGCACCAUGUAUGUGGUGCGCCACUGCUAUAUAGAAGUGACGCACCAGAUACAGGUGCGCCAUUACUAUCCAUAUUACUAAUGGCACACCUUAUGUGUGGUGCGCCAUUACUAUCUUUGUCCUGGCCCCGCACCCUUUCCUAGAGAUACCAGUGGCGCACUAAGGGAAGUGCGCUAUUACUAGUUUUGACUAGUAAUGGCACACCACAUCCACGGUGCACCACUACUAACAAUUUUUUUCAGUUUUUUUCAAAACUACUAAUGGCGCAUUCUUACUAGGUGCGCCAUUAGUAACCCUGGUUACUAAUGGCGCAUUCUUUGUGGGUGCGCCAUUGGUAACCUGGGAGCAGUAUAUAUUUUUGACAACCCACUUCACACUCACUUCCCCCCACUUCAUUCUCCCCACCUCUACCAACCUUGUUGGUCUCGGCUGCCUCCACCUCCUCACCUCAUUUGCACCAUAGAUUCACCCAAAUUAAGUGGUUAAAUUUCCUUUUUUUGAUAGGUAAGUAAGGGGAAAGCUUUCUUUAUGUUCUAGAUCUAAUUUUUUUCUCCCUCCAACGUGUACACACUUUUUAUGGCCUAGAUCUACGUAUGUUUGUGGUGUUGCAUAUGUUUGUGUUUGCAGGUACCGGUAUUUGAAAUGCGAUAGUUGCCAAUAUUUUGCCGGAAUGUUGAUUCAUUUCCGUUUCAGCGAGAAUUUGGCACUAUGCAUUCUUUUUGGUCUUAUUUUUAGGCCAAGUCAUGCCAAAAAAAAUUUCGUUCUAAAAUAUCGUUUUUCUCUACCCUGCAGGCGACCAUGGUCCGCACGAUGACCGAAGGCAUCAUGAAUAGGUUUUUGAGCUCCCCGAAGGCCGAGAUGCUUCAAAACACGAAAACGACAUAAGAUGUCCAUGUCGAAGAUGCAAGCUGAAGAGCCGUAUGGACCCGGAUUCCUGACAGGUGCGGGACCACCUGCUCGUGCGUGGUUUCAUGGAUGGCUAUCGGUGGCAAGGUGAUGAAGAUGAUUAUCAAGUCAUCCAUGGGGGCCGGGCAAGAAAUAAGGAAGGGCUACAAGACAAUAGCGGUGAGGGCGGGCGAGAAGACGAAGAAUCUCCACGACAUGAUCACGAAGUAGAUGCAGGACAGAGUCAUCAUGUAGAAGAUGCCGGACAUGAUGAUGAGGAAGAUCAAGACAGAGCGCAUGAUCAUGAAGAUGAAGAUGUCGGAGCAGACGACGAUGGACCAUCGAUGGGCUGGGUGCAGGACCCUCAUAUUCAAGAGCUGCUUCUCAAGCAGACAGGUAACACAAGAGCUGCCGCUCGAGAGAAAGCCAAGUUGGAUCAACUGGAGAUAGACGCGGUUACUCCAUUGUAUGAAGGAUGCAGGCCCGAGGAUACCCGCCUGAAAGUAACGCUCAUGGCUCUGGAGAUGAAGGUAAAACACAAAAUGCAUGUGUGUCCUCUGGAUUUACCACACGUGAAAUACCAUGUGUGCAUGAACGAUUGCAUCAUCUAUCAGAGCGAGCACGCGGAGUCUACCAUAUGUCCGGUGUGCAGCGUCACUCGAUACAAGAAGAGGAAGAAAGCUCCUCGAAAAGUGGUGUGGUACUUUCCGAUCACUCCUCGUCUGCAGCGGUAUUUCGCGGACCCUAAGCAAGCAGAGCUCCUGCGUUGGCACGUGGAUAGGGAGGAGAAUAAGAGAGAAGAUGGAGGAAAUGAUCCAGAGAUAAAUAAAAAAGACAAGAUGCCGAGUCACCCUAAGGAUGCGAGCCAAUGGCAAGCGUUGAACUUCGAACACCCAGAAUUUGGGGACGAUCCAAGGAACAUCAUGCUGGGCGCGAGCACCGAUGGAGUCAAUCCGUUUGGCAGCCAGAGAAGCACACAUAGCACCUGGCCUGUGUUUGUGUGGAUGUACAACCUUCCCCCUGGAUGUGCAUGAAGAGGAAGUACAUUCACAUGAGUAUGCUAAUUGAAGGGACGAAACAACCAGGGAACAACAUCAAUCUGUAUCUAGGGCUGCUCAAAGAGGAUCUAGACACACUGUGGAAUACGCCAGCCAAUACGUGGGACGCCGCAGCGAAACAAUAUUUCCCUAUGAGAGCCGCACUGCUCACGACGGUGCACGACUAUCUCGGUUACGGAUAUGUCGUGGGGCAGGUGGUCCACGGAUUUUGUGCAUGCAUCUGGUGCAUGGAUGACACAACGUGUCGUUAGCUAGAUAGAGAUCCCGGGUCUUUGAAAAACGUGUUCAUUGUACAUCAAAGGUGGCUUCGUGACGAUGACGCAUGGAGAAAACGCAAGGAUCUGUUCGAUGGUGAAACCGAACCACGAAGACCGCCAUGUAUGAGGAGCGGCGAGGAAAUAGACGAGUUGUUGAAAAAUUGGAAAGAGUAGUGCCCACCUCCGGGAAAGAAGGGAAAGGCGCCAGAGCCGCUGCUGAAGGUAUGGAAAACGAGGUCUGUUUUGUGGGACUUGCCGUACUGGAAGAUCCUUCAUGUUCCUCACAGCCUUGAUGUCAUGAAUAUCACGAAGAAUGUGUGCGAGAAUCUGCUUGGUACCCUGCUCAACAUGCCAGAGAGGACCAAAGAUGGGCCGAAAACAAGGGCAGACUUGCAAUCAAUGGGCAUCAGGGAGGAGCUUCACGCAAAAUGCCCUAAUGAUGAUAAUCAUGAUGAUGAGGCGAAGGACACGGCAAGUCGUCGCAAAGGCAAAAAGGCCAAGAAGAUCGAAUAUGACUGCCCUCCCGCAUGCUUCACUCUAAGUCAGAAGGAGAUCGAACAAUUUUUCACCUGCCUCGUAGGAGUAAAACUUCCUUACGGUUACGCGGGGAAGAUAAUCUGAUACCUAGACUCAGCGCUGCAUAAGUUUAGCGGGAUGAAGUCUCACGACUGUCAUGUGCUGAUGAUGCAGAUACUUCGAGUUGCAAUCUAUGGGAUCAUGGACGCGCAUGUCCGUGAAACGCUAUUUGGCCUAUGCAAAUUUUCGACGUCAUCUCUCGGAAGUCGGUUGGCGUGAGGCAACUCAGAAGGCUACAGGAAGAGAUCGUGGUGAUACUAUGCGAGCUUGAGAUGUACUUCCCACCCGCAUUCUUCGACAUUAUGGUGCAUCUGCUGGUCCAUAUCGUGAAGGAUAUCAUCCAACUCGGGCCGACGUUCCUGCACAGCAUGAUGCCGUUUGAAAGGAUGAAUGGUGUCAUCAAAGGAUACGUUCGCAACAGGGCACGUCCAGAUGGAAGCAUAGCCCAUGGCUUUCUGACUGAAGAGUGCAUCUCGUUCUGCAUGAAUUAUCUAGGCAUCGAGAACCCCAUUGGUCUGCCCGUCAACAAGCACAUCAGCAGGCUCGCUGGAUUGGGUCACCGUGAAAUGCAUGUCGACUUCAAGGGUCGACUCGCCGACUUUGAAAGAGCAAACCUAGUCGUGCUACAAAACAUAGACGUGGUCGAUCCUUGGGUGGUAGAGCACAAAACCUUUAUUGAGAAGACGUACAAUGACCGAGGCCAACAGAGGACGGACGGAGAUAUAAUGAAAGAGCACAACUCAUAUUUCACACGUUGGUUCAAGGACAAGCUUCUGUCGUACCCUUUACAUGAGGAUUCUUCCAUGGAAGAAAAACUCAUAUUAGCCUUGUCAUAGGGCGCCGAGCACAACCUGAUGACCUAUGAGGCAUACGAUAUCAAUGGCUACACAUUCUACACCGAGGAAAAGGACAUGAAGAGCGAUUAUCAGAACUCCAGGGUAACGAUGGAAUCCUAUACCGGUAACGACAAGGACAGAUACUAUAGAAGGAUCGAGGAGAUGUGGGAGCUGAGCUACGCUGGAGAGAAGGUUCCGAUGUUCCGUGUCAGAUGGGCCAAGAGCGUCCUAAAAGAAGACCGGUAUUUCCCCACCAUGGUUAUACAUGAAGCCAAAUCCAAGACCGCGGGCGCAAACAUCUGCACAAAAAAUGAGCCAUGGGUACUGGCUUGCCAAGUGGACCAAUGCUUCUUCAUUACCAACCCGUCAAAGCCCAGUCGUGUUGUCGUGAGGAGAGGCAAAUGAACAUCAUCAGAAUGGAUGGAGUCGCCAAUGAGCAAUACUUCGACAAGUACGGCGACCCGAAGAUGGAAGAUGACGACAACGAUGAAGUAGGACACACCACAAGAAGAGGCAGGACCACCCUACCUAAAGGACGUCCGUUCAAGAGAAGAAUUCAAGGGGUUCCGGGGCUAAAUUAUUCAACCACGAGAAAGAAGGGCAAGAAGAUCAUUGCGAAAAGAUACCUAAGAUCGAAUCACGACGUAUCGGCCGCGUGUGUGUGUAAGUGGCAACCUCAAUCUUUGAUGACUGUUAUUUCACGUCAUUUGAUUUCAACCAUGUCAUGUAAUUCUAAAUCUCUGCACAAUGUGAUAUCACCUCAUAACAUGAUUUUUUGUAAGUGUCUCUCUCCGUGAGCUUUAUGGCUGGAUUAGGUGUAAAACAUGCUUUCCUCGGGCUACUCAUAAAACACAUUAGCUCGUUUGGUUAAACAAGUGGAAAUGAGUGAUUGGCUCUUUUCAUUAAGUAGCCACCCUUUAUUUGUCCUCACGCAUGGUUGUAGUCCUCAAAGAUUCAACCAAAUCCAUACAAAGUAUGCUACUACGUAGAUCAACAUUUGAAUGUGGACCAAACCUACAAAUAUAUAGAACAAUAUGUCCCAAAGGACAUAGUUCUUGGUCGUACAUAGUUCUUAGUAAGAAAUUAGAUGAACUAAAUACAAAGUAUACUAGAUAGGUGCUACUUCUCAAACAACAGUGCCAGAAAUUGACAUGUUGACGGAGACUUGCUUGCGUUGGUUUUUCCCUUGAAGAGGAAAGGGUGAUGCAGCACAGGAGCAAUAAGUAUUUCCCUCAGUUUGAGAACAAGGUAUCAAUCCAGUAGGAGAAUCUUGUCAAGUCCAAAGUACCUGCACAAACACAAAAGAGCUUACACCCAACGCUAUAAAGGCAUUGUCAAUCCCUUCAAGAUUGAUUGCAAAGUGAGAUCUGAAGGCAGAAAGUGCAACGAAGUAAAAGAGUAAGGCUGAAAAUAUGGUGUGAAGUAGACCCGGGGGCCAUAGUGUUCACUAGAGGCUUCUCCCAAAAUAGCAAAUAUUAUGGUGGGUGAACAAAUUACUGUCGAGCAAUUGAUAGAACCGCGCAACUUCAUGACGAUAUCUAAGGCAAUGAUCAUACAUAUAGGCAUCACGUCUGAGACAAGUAGACCGAUACUUUCUGCAUCUACUACUAUUACUCCACACAUCGACCGCUAUCCAGCAUGCAUCUAGUGUAUUGACUUCAUGACGAACAAAGUAACGCCUUAAGCAAGAUGACAUGAUGUAGAGGGAUAAUCUCAAACCAAUGAUGAAAACCCCAUCUUUUUACCCUUGAUGGCAACAACAUGAUGCGUGCCUUGCUACCCCUUCUAUCACUGGGUGAGGUCACCGCACGGUAUGAACCCAAAACCAAGCACUUCUCCCAUUGCAAGAAUCAUAGAUCAAGCUGGCCAAAAAAAACCCACAACUCGAAGAGUAUUACAAGGAUAUGAAAUCAUGCAUAUAAGAGAUCAGAAGAAACUCAAAUAAGAUUCAUAGAUAAUCUGAUCAUAAAUCCACUAUUCAUCGGAUCCNNNNNNNNNNNNNNNNNNNNNNNNNNNNNNNNNNNNNNNNNNNNNNNNNNNNNNNNNNNNNNNNNNNNNNNNNNNNNNNNNNNNNNNNNNNNNNNNNNNNUGUGUGCUGUGUUUCAGUGAGUCGAGAGGCAACAAAAUUUCUAUGGUUAAAGAAUUCCUAGUUGAUAAUAUUGAUGGACAAGUUAUUUACUUAUGUGACGAAGCUACUAGAAUUGCAAAACUUGAUAGAAGAAAGCAUGAUGAGUAAGAUAAAAAUAAACCAAUUGUUGGCAUGCAUGUCAUUUCUAUUAAGAUUGGAGAUCAUUGCUAUCAUGGCUUGUGUGACAUGGGUGCCAGUGUUAGGGAUAUACCUUUUACCUUAUAUCAACAAAUUAUGAAUGACAUGGCACCCUAUGAGAUUGAAUACAUUGAUGUCAUGAUUAAACUUGCAAAUAGAGACACUAUUUCACCACUUGGAAUUGUUAGAGAUGUUGAGGUCUUGUGUGGAAAAAUUAAGUACCCCCACUGAUUUCUUAGUAAUUGGUUCACAACAAGAUAAUUUAUGUUCCAUUAUAUUUUUCUUGAAUAUCGUUAAUGUUGACAUUACUUCUAUUACGGAGAAGGUUAAAAUGAGCUUUGGUGAUGAGUCUCAUUAAUUUAAUUUCUCUAGGUUUGGAAGACAACCACGUCAGAAAGAAUUGUGUAGUAAGGAUGAAAUAUUUUGCCUUGCCUCUAUUGUCGUACCUCCUACUCAUCCAUUAAAGCAAUAUCUACUAGACGAAGAUAAUGUUAUGCAUAUAAAUGAAAUGAUUGAAAUAGAUGAAAUAUUCUUUAGACAAAAACAUAUUCUUCAACACAACUUUCCUAUUGACAUUCUAGGGACCGUCCCCACCUAAAGAAGAUCUCGUGUUUGAGCUAAAGAAAUUACCUGAUACUUUGAAAUAUGCUUAUCUUGAUGAAAAUAAGAUAUAUCAUGUUAUUAUUAGUGCUAACCUGUGAGAUCAUGAAGAAAAGAGAUUACUCAAAACUCUAAGGAAGCACUGAGCUUCUAUUGGAUAAACUCUUGAUGGUCUUAAGGGCAUUAGUCCCACUCUAUGUCAGCACAGGAUUAUUAUGGAACCGGGUGCUAAACCUGUUGUUGAUCAUGAACAUCGCCUGAAUCCUAAAGUGAUUGAAGUGGUAAGAACUGAAAUACUAAAGCUUCAAGAGGCAAGUAUAAUUUAUCAUAUUGUUGAUAGUAGAUGGGUAAGUCCUCUUCAUUGUGUUCCCAAGAAAGGAGGUAUAAGUAUUGUUCCAAAUGAUAAAAAUGAACAUAUCCAACAAAGAAUUGUAACUGGAUAUAGGAUGGUAAUUGAUUCUAGGAAAUUAAACAAAUCUAUUAGAAAAGAUAAUUAUCCCUUGAAUUUUAUAGAUCAAAUGUUAGAAAUAUAAAAUAAGCACACACACUUCUGCUUCCUUGAUGGAUAUUUUGGAUUUUCUGAAAUACCUGCGUCAAAAGAAGAGAAAGAGAAAACUACUUUUACAUCCCCAUUUGCAACUUAUGCUUAUAGACAUGUGCCUUUUGGUUUAUGUAAUGCACCUCCUACCUUUCAAGGAUGUAUGACUCCUAUAUUGUUUGACUUUUGUAAAAAUAUUGUCGAGGUAUUAAUGGAUGAUUUUUUUGUUUGAGGGACUUCUUUUGAUGAUUGCUUAAGCAACCUUGAUCGAGUUUUACAAAGAUGUGAAGAAACUAAUCUUGUCUUGAAUUGGAGAAAUGCAACUUUAUGGUGAACGAAGGUUUAGUACUUGGGCAUAAAAUUCUGAACGAGGUGUUGAGGUAGACAAAUAUAAAGUUGAUGCAAUAGAGAAAAUGCCAUGUCCUAAAGAUGUUACAGGUAUAAGAAUUUUUCUUGGUCAUGCUGGUUUCUAUAGGCAUUUCAUUAAAGACUGCUCAAAGAUUUCUAGGCUAUUAACUAAUCUUCUUCAAAAAGAUAUUCCAUUUGUUUUCUACGAUGAUUGUGUAGAAGCCUUUGAAAUACUUAAGAAAGCCUUAAUCACUGCACCUAUUGUUCAACCACCCGAUUAGAACUUACCAUUUGAAAUUAUGUGUGAUGCUAGUGAUUAUGUUGUCGGUGUUGUUCUAGGGCAAAGAGUAGACAAGGAAUUGAAUGUUAUCCAUUAUGAUAGUAAGACUAUAGAAAGUGCCCGAAGAAAUUAAGCUACUACUGAAGAAGAAUUUUGAGUUGUUGUGUUUGCAUGUGAUAAGUUUAGACCUUAUAUUGUUGAUUCCAAAAUUACUAUUCACAUAGAUCAUGCUGCUAUUAAAUACCUUAUGGAAAAGAAGGAUCGUAGGCCUAGACUGAUUAGGUAGGUGCUUUUACUUCAAUAGUUUGAGUUGCAUAUUGUUGACACAAAGGGAGCUGAAAACCCAGUAGCAGAUAAUUUGUCUAGAAUGGGAAGUGUUGUUGAUGACCCACUGCCUAUUGUUGAUAAUUUUCAUGAUGAGCAACUAGUUGUUAUAAAUGCUUCCCGUAGUACUCCUGGUAUGCAAAUUAUGCUAAUUACAUUGUGACUAAACGUAUACCACCUAGUUUCACCUACUAACAAAAGAAAAUGUUCUUCUUUAAUUUAAGACAUUACUUUUUGGAUGGCCCACAUCUAUAUAAAGAAGGAGCACAUAGUGUCAUUAGACAUUGUGUACCUAAGCAUAAACAUGAACAGAUCCUACGGAAGUGUCAUUUCGAGGCCUACGGAGGGCAUCAUGCUCGCGACACAACUACACAUAAGGUACUACCAUAUGGUUUUUAUUGGCUUACUCCUUUCAAAGAUGCAUGUAAGUUUGUCCUUUCUUGUGAUGAAUGUCAAAUAAUUGGUAAUAUUGGUUGACAUCAGGAAAUGCCUAUGAAUUAUUCACUUGCAAUUGAACCAUUUGAUAUUUGGGGUUUUCAUUAUAUGGGACAUUUUCCUUCCUCUAAUGGUUAUACUCAUAUGUUUUUGCUAUUGAUUACGUUACUAAGUGGGUACAAGAAAUUCCAACUAGUAGUGUUGAUCACAACACUUCUAUUAAAAUGCUUAAAGAUGUUAUUUUCCCGAGGUUUUGAGUCCCUAAAUAUCUAAUGAGUGAUGGUGGUUCACAUUUUGGUCAUGGUGCUUUUCAUUAAAUUCUACCUAAAUAUGAUGAUAACCAUAGAAUUGCAUCACCAUAUUAUCCUCGAUCUAGUGGUCAAGUUGAAUUGAGUAACUAGGAAAUAAAAUUGAUCUUGCAAAAGACUAUUAAUAGAUGUAGAAGGAAUUGGUCUAAGAAACUUCAUGAUGCUUUAUGGUCUUAUAAAAUUGUUAUAAAAAUCCGAUGGGAAUGUCUUCGUAUAAAAGGGUCUAUAAAAAGAAUGUCAUUUACCUCUUGCUUAGAACAUAAAGCUUGUUGGGCAAUUAAAGAACUUAACUAUGAUUUCAAACUUGUCAAUUAAAAGAGGUUAUUUGAUAUAAGCUCCUUAGAUGAAUGGAGAACCCAAGCCAAUAAAAAUGCCAAGUUGUUUACAUAAAAGGUUAAAAUAUGGCAUGAAAAGAGCAUCCAAAAAUAGGAAUUCAUUGUAGAAGACCUAGUUGUUUUGUACAAUUCUCGUUUCAGAUUCUUUGCAGGUAAGCUUCUCUCUAAAUUGGAAAGACCGUAUAUCAUUGAGGAGGUUUAUCGCUCCGGUGCUAUCAAAAUUAAGAACACUGAGGGGACAAACGUGAGAGUGGUUAAAGGGCAAAGAAUUAAACACUACAUCUCAGUUACACCCAUUAAUGUUGAAACCAAUAGCAUUCAAGUGAUGACACCGGAACAACACAUAAUAGAAACCUUCUAGAACACUCCAAAACCCUAAAAAAGGGGGGGUGUGAUACAUUAAGUAAACUGACUCCAAAAAUUCAAUAAAAUAUUUUAUGUUGGUUUGGUAUUUUAGAAAAAUUACAAAAAUAAAAACAGCCAUGGGAACCCAUGAGGGAGACCCAAGCCAGUAGGGUGCGGCCACCCCCUUGGACGCGCCCUAAUGGCUUGGGAGCACCCCGGGUGCCUUCCAGACUCUGUUUUCUUCCUAGACACAUAUUUUGACCUAGAAAAAUUCAUUAUAUACACUCCCGCAUGUUUUGACCACCGCAUCGCAAGUUUCUCCUUUGUCCUUGUUUCGAGCUGUUUUUCUAACAAAUCUAGAUCGCCAUGAUGCUAUCAAGAUCCUCCAAGGACAAGUUCUACGAGAAGGUCAUCAAUCCUUACCUCCCAGAGGUGAUCAAACACCCUCAAUCCAUUGAGAUGCAUGAGGGGGUGCUUCUCAUCCGGGUCAUUCAAGGAACAAAGAGGGAGAGAAGCGAGAAGGCCAGGCUUGGAGUAGUGGAAUAAGAGAUCUUCAAGUGUGAGGGGAUGGUGGACCGUGGUCUGAGCGCCAAUCACUAUGGUCACGAAUUUUAUUCGUGAACACGAGAUGGACAGCAAGUAGAUCGUGGAGAUGAUCUCAAAAUUCCAUGAGAGGCCUCAAGACCUUCAGGCUCAAAUUUAUGAUCUAAAAAAUCAGAACUGUGAGUAUGAAUCUCGUUUCAAGAGGAUGAGCAUAGCUGCAGAUUUCAAGAUCCCGAAUACGAGCUCUUCCUUUUUCAACGGAGAACCUAUACCAUGGAAGACGAGGGAUAAGCCCACUAAAUCAUCACCACCAUCACCCAAGAAGGACACUUGAGUACAUGGGUAUGGGCACCACCCUUAGCUUGUGCCAAGCUUGGGGAGGUGCCACGGUAUUGUAUCACCAUCACUCUUACAUCAUCAUCUAUCUUAGUUCGAUCCUUAGUUAUUUUGUGAUUUAGAGGAAUAAAAAUUUAGUAUUUCUUUGCUUUGAGUGCUUGCUUUGUGAUCUAUCUACCCUUGUAAUCGAGUGUGAGAGUUCUAUAAUAAAUAUUAGUUUGAGUUUGCUUGUUUUACUCUCAUGCAUCAAUCAUAGCAACGAAAUAAAAGAAAUAGAAACAUCAUAUGCUAAUCCCAUGGGGAGUAAUGAAUUCACAGAUAAAUAAGUAUGUUUAAUAAAAGGUGUUGGGAGUUAAAAACAUAGUACUAGACAAUCCAUGUAAAAUUAUGAAAGAGUAGAGGAGAUUCACAUACAAAUAUACUAUCUUGGACAUCUUUUAUGACUGUGAGCCCCCAUCAAAUAUUAUAUAAUGAUCGAAUUGUUGAUGUUGGACAACAAAGAUAGCAUAAUGAGUUAUGUAUGUUUACAUUCACAUGGAGGUUAUAUUGUCAUGGAUCCUCUAACAUGUGGUGCUUCUCUAGGAUAUUUUGCUAGCUCAAAAGUUUGCACUAAGUAGAGAUAUUACAUGUGCAUCCAUAACCCUUAAACCCAGUUUCUUGCCAUGAGAUUCCACCCUACCUACCUAUGGAUUGAAUAAGAUCCUUCAAGUAGGUUGUCAUGGUGCAUAAAGCAAUAAAUAUUGUUCCUAAAUAUGUAUGAUCUUUUAUUCUAAGGGAAAAUAAGCUUUGUACGAUCUUGUGAUGGCAAAGAAAUAAAAGCGACAUAUUGGAUAAUAACGGUUGCUAUCAUAAGGGGCAAUAUAAAGUGAUGUUCCUUUACAUUAAGAGUUUGCACAUCCUAAAUUAAAAAGUGCAUCACAACCUCUGCUUCCCUCUAUGAAGGGCCUAUCUUUUACUUUAACGUAUUUAAUUUUACGCAAGGGUCAAUAAUGUUUAUCCCUAUUACAAUCUACUAAUUCUUUAGUUGGCAAGCAUCAUGUGUUGGGGGAAAUAUCCAUAUAUAUAUAUAUAUNNNNNNNNNNNNNNNNNNNNNNNNNNNNNNNNNNNNNNNNNNNNNNNNNNNNNNNNNNNNNNNNNNNNNNNNNNNNNNNNNNNNNNNNNNNNNNNNNNNNNNNNNNNNNNNNNNNNNNNNNNNNNNNNNNNNNNNNNNNNNNNNNNNNNNNNNNNNNNNNNNNNNNNNNNNNNNNNNNNNNAUAUAUAUAUAUAUAUGCAAUUGGAUGUAGGUGAUCAUGAGUGAUUAUUGUUGACAUUACCCUUGAGGUAAAUAAGUUGGGUGGCGGAAAUGAUAAAGCCCCUAUCUUCCUAUGUGUCUGAUGGAAACAUUAGCUCCAAAAAUAUGCAUUGUGUGUCAGUAGUCAUAGAAGACUAAAUGAUAGUGGAGUAUGUGAAAUUGCUAAAAUGAAAGCUCUUAGAUAAAGUCUUCUUUGAAAUAUAAUGAAUGAUUGUGUCAAUGAAUAAGAACAUAGUUUGUUGAUUGUCGAUAAAGUUUAUGCUUCAUACUUCAAUAAUUGUGGAUACAUUAUUACUUGUUUAUGAGAAGUUAUAUGUUGAAACCUUGCUACUAUGUUAUUAUUCAUGAUGCUCUCAUGUCUGUAUUUUGUUUUUAUCGACAUCUCUUUCUCUAAUUAUGUGGUCAUCAUUAUCAAGGCGAGCUUUCCCUUGAGGACAAGCGUGGUCUCAACUUGGGCAAGUUGAUACGUCCAUUUUGNNNNNNNNNNNNNNNNNNNNNNNNNNNNNNNNNNNNNNNNNNNNNNNNNNNNNNNNNNNNNNNNNNNNNNNNNNNNNNNNNNNNNNNNNNNNNNNNNNNNNNNNNNNNNNNNNNNNNNNNNNNNNNNNNNNNNNNNNNNNNNNNNNNNNNNNNNNNNNNNNNNNNNNNGUCCAUUUUGCAUCAUGAUUUCUUAUCGAUACCUAUAUUAUUUUUUAUCAUUAUUCCACUUUAUGAUACCAUUCUUAUGCCUUUUCUCUGUUAAUUUACAAGGUACAACACAAAGAGGGAAGUUCUGAAAACUGGAAUUCUGGACCUAAAAACAAGAAAAAGGCUGAAAAUUCUAUGGACUCCAAUUGACCUGAAACUUCACAAGGAACUUUUGUGGAAUAUAUUUGAAUUUAUGGACAAAUAAGUAAUGGAGGGUCCACUUGUUAGUGCCAAGCCAACAAGGUGCGCCAUCAUGGCUUGGGGCCAGCUCCCAGCUCCUACAGCCCCCCUCUUCUACUAUAUUAUGUGUUUUGACCUAGAAAAACAAUAAGAUUCUUUUAGGACGAAGACCCAUCGUAUCGAGGCGAUAACCUGGGCAAAGGCCCUUUUUCUCUCCGGCAUAGUGAUUCCGGUGGGGAAACUUCUUUCCGGGAGGGGGAAUCGACGCCAUCUUCAUGACCAAAGCUUUCUCCUUCAUGGGUGGACCAAUAUUCAUCAACAUCUUCACCAGAACCAUCUCAUCUCAUACACUAGUUCAUCUCUUGUAUUCAAUCUUUUUUCUCAAAACCUCAUAUUGGUACAUGUGGGUUUACUAGUACUGUUGAUUACGUCUUGUAGUUGAUGCUAGUUGGUUUUUUUGGUGGAAGAUAAUAUGUUCACAUCCUUUAUCAUAUUCAUUACAGAUAUGAUCUUGAACAUGGUGAUGAUUUGUGAGUAGUUGCUUUUGUUCUCGAGGACAUCGGAGAAUUCUUGUUAUAAUUAAUUAUCUAAAGUUGGUAUUCAUUCGAUAUUUUGAUGAUGUGUAUGUUAUUGCUUACUUUCGUGGUGUCAUGUGGACGUCCACUACAUGACACUUCACCAUAAUUGAGACUAAGGGAAGUCAUUGUGGAGUAAUAAGUAGAUUAUGGGUUGCUAGAGUGACAAAAUCUUAAACCCAAGUUUAUGCGUUAUUUCUGAAGGGGUUGAUUUGGAUCCAUAUGUUUCAUGCUACGGUUAGAUUAAUCUUAAUUCUUCUUUGAUAGUUGCGGAUGCUUGCCAUAGGGGUUAAUUAAGUGGGUUGCUUGUCAAGUAAUAAAAACACCUUAGCACUGGUCUACCCACAUAUCAAAUUAUCAAAGUAACGAAUGUGAAUCAACUCAACAUGAUGAACAUGACUAGAUGAAAAUUCACAUGUAUCCUCAAGAGUGUUUUCCUUUAUUUAAGAGAACUUUCAGGCUUGUCCUUUGCUACAGAAAGGAUUAGUCCACCUUGCUACACCCUUGCUACUUUUAUUACUUGCUACUUGCUACCAAUUAUCUUGCUACAAAACUAUCUAUCACUUCUACCCAUAACACUUGCAAACAAUACCUUGCUGAAAAUUAUCAUUUCCUUCUGCUCCUUGUUGGGUUUGACACUCUUACUUAUCGAAAAGACUAUGAUUGAUCCCUAUACUUGAGGGUUAUCAUUGUCUAUGUGAGUCUUGCUGGGAGUAAGCAAUUCUUGGAAAUUGUGUGCAAGCAAGGAUGGCUCCGGAAGAAUCAAGGUGUUGGUUUUGAGCGAAAGUUCAAUUCCAAUGGAUUUGAAUGGGAGGAAGAUCUAUACCCCGAGACGAAGUUUGUUCCUCGACAAGACAAGUAUGAUCCUACUCUCUUCAAGGGAACAUAAUCUCAAGGUGAUCUUCCACCACAGGAUCACAAGAUAAAGGGAAAGGAUAAUCUUCAAGAGGAUACUGACUCAUUUGAAGAACCACCACUAAUUAUGGUCAAGUGGGCUCUCAAGGCUACUACAAGCUCUACUUCAUCAAGUGCUAGUUCAACUCCAAGGAUUCCCAUCAAGUUGUUUUCGAUCCUAAAGAAGAAGAACUAGCGAGUUCUUGAGGGUGACUGUGCCAACAAUUUUCACUCAUAUUCACUUCUUGGCUCUUGUCCAGACGAUAAUCACAUAAUCACAUGAGACAAUGUAUUUGAUGCAUCAAUGGACAUAAUCACAUGAGAAUUUCAUCUUUGUCCAUACGAUAGAUAUCCUUGUUAUUGUUCCUUGUGUGGGACUAACACAUGUGUGUGUUGAGAGUAACAAAACAACAAGGACUGCUCCCGGCUCUAGAUGAUCUGCAUCAACAACGAGCAUCCACUACUAUAACAUCUACAUUAAGUCUUCAACGACAAAACUCAAGGUUAAUUCAUCCCUCUUAGGGGGGAUAUCACAUCUAGGAGGAGCUUUUAUCUAAGACCUAAGCUAAAGCAUCUCUAAUGGUGUGAACACAUUAAUGCAUUAUGUAAAAGUGGUAAUCCCACUUGUCCUUAAAUGAUCAGUAUGACCUAUGAUCAAGUGUACUCACUUGGCUCCUAAGUCAAUAUACUCAUAUAUAGAUGACUUUGUCAUCGAUAGUUGCUUCAUAGAUACUAGAGUGGUUUUGCAUGUUUGACAUAUUUCAUUUGCCAUUUUAUUGUGUGAGCAUGUUGGUAUGCAUGAUUUUCUCAUUCAAAGACAUCCAAUUGUACUUUAUUUGGUUUUGAUUUUUUUGGCCAAUUGAAUGUACAAGAAAGCCUAAGUACCCCUUGUAGCUAUGAAUUCUAUCUUAUCUCAAACUCUUUCAUGCUUCAUCACAAAAUUUCAACAAGGUAAUUUUCGGACUCUCUCGGUGAGGAACACUCAGAGCCACCGAUCCGUCUACGGACGACUUCCAAAACCUUCUAGGUGUUUUUUGGUGUGACCAACCCCUAAACAUUCGGUUCCACCGAAGGCAUUUAAACAGAUCAGGUUGUCUCACCUUGGUAACACCAAUCAGAAAAUUUUGGUAUCACUCAGUUCCUCCGCCCAUGGCAGUUAUGAACUUCGGUGCCACCGAUCCAUUCUUCCGGUGUCACCGACAACACAUGGGUAUAUAUAUCACACGGCUAGGACUUUGAAAAAUUCAUCAAAUCUCCCACUCCUACAACCCAUUGCUUUCGUCGCUUAGGUCUAUGGACAUUCACCUUCAUCUCCAACGCGCCCUCAAUGCCGGAAUCCGCCGCUGUCAACGGCAAUCAUCACUGUUGUUGCCAUCGUAGAGAGGCUCCACCAAGUUAGGGUAAAGCCUCAAUCCCCUUUUCGUUCCCCUUCUGAUUCUUGCACAAAAGGACAUGUCUUGCAUCCUGCUACAGUGUGCACAUUAUUAUCCUCUCAGAAAUUCAAUAGGAUAGAUUUGAAGAAAAAAAUUAGGGCUAGGUUUCCGUAAUAUGCAACUCGGACCCUCCGACAGAAAAGUUUAGGCGUCAUAGAUGUGGUUAAGGACAAAAUACAAAAGGGCUUCUCGGUGAAAACGAGAGGAUCCUAUUGGUGUCACCAAAGAUGGAUCUUAGGAGUGAUAUGAGCACUUUGGAGAGACCGAGAAACGUCUCAGUGAAACCGAAAUGACGUUGCCAACUCUCUAUUGCUACCUCAGAGCUUCCAAAAUCUAGAACUUGGUUUCCUAAUUGCAUAUUGUGAAACCCUAAAAUUAAACUUUGAGUUCAAAUAUUUUGCGGUUUUUUUCGAAUUUUGGGAUGCUCAUCUAUUCCACUUUGCUCAAUCUAAUUCAGAGGGUCUGCGAUCACUAUGUUUGCAUCAGAAGACAAUUAGAAUAUGUGUGUUGAUUCAAGUUGGAGAGUGGCACUAGUCUAGAUGAGAGCUUUUCUAAGGGAAANNNNNNNNNNNNNNNNNNNNNNNNNNNNNNNNNNNNNNNNNNNNNNNNNNNNNNNNNNNNNNNNNNNNNNNNNNNNNNNNNNNNNNNNNNNNNNNNNNNNNNNNNNNNNNNNNNNNNNNNNNNNNNNNNNNNNNNNNNNNNNNNNNNNNNNNNNNNNNNNNNGAAAGAGGAUCUCUCCUAAUCUUCCUAAGGAUGGCACGAGGGCUAGGGGAAGAAGAAUUCACAUGAUGAAUAUGAGGAUUUUGCACUUAAGGAGGUUACUUCCAAAAAGCAAACAGCGAGGAAAGAGUAUGAAGGUACUAGGAAGGAGAGAGUGGGUGCAAGGAAAGUCUCAACAUCCACUGUAGCAAAGAGGGACGUGACUCUCACUCUAGAGACCCCUGUCAGUUCAAGGACACCUAAGUCUUUGCCCAACAAAUUAGGUGUUAAUAGGGCAAGGAAGAUGAUUAUGCAUGUGACUGGCUGGCAGACUUCCAUGUAUGUAGACCUAGCUGAAAACUAAGGAGGAGGAACAGGCAGCUCAACCCCCACCUACCAAGCAGCGGAAGCUCAUGGCAGAUGCAAUGCCUAAGAAGGUUGCCACCACCUCCAAGGCUCCUUGCAAGCGUAAGAGGACUACUAGAGAUAUUUCCAUAGCUAACAAGACCAAGGCCCAAGUGCCUACGAGGACAUUAGAUGAUGAGUGUCUUGUGCUCAAGAAGCUUAGGCUAAGGUUGCCUGAACAUGAUGAUACACACCUAGUGGCUAAGAACAUGAAGGACAGGAAGGACUAAGGUCUGAGGAAGUGGAGAGUUGUGGAUCCUUAUGCCACAGCGAGGAAGACUGUCGUGGACUAUAGAUUCCACACCAAGGAGAAAUAGGAUUUCGAUGAGAUAGUGCUCCUAGACAAGAGCCUAGCAGUUAGCGAUAUGAGAUAUGUUGAUUGGAAAUACAUUGACGACAAUGUUAACAACUUUCCCCACAUGUAGGAUAUUUUUUGUUCGACGGUCAUUAAUGAUUUUGUUGGUAAGGAGAUGACCGCUUGGACUAACAAGCACAUCAUGCAGUUUUACUCCACCGCAAACUUCUAUCCCGAUGAAAGGAUUGUGUGGAUGUGAGGGGGAAUGAGGUACCAGUCCGCGGUUAAUGAGUGGGCAAAGCUCAUUGGUACCCUAAGGUCAAGGAUGACGAUGUGAAUGUCUAUGGAGAAUCCAAGAAGGGACACAACUCUAUGGCCAAUAUGUACACACCCAUUACCAAGGAAUAUCUGAAAUAUCAUAAGCUUGGACAGUUUAUUUCUUGCUAGUAGAACUUCCUGCUACGGCAACAAAAGACCUUCCCCGGCAACGGCGCCAGAAGUCCUUCUGCUGCUGGCUACGCCUAUAGGGAUUUCCUUGGCAAAUAUGCAAAGGAUUCCCCCGCUGCCUUGGAGCCUUGCGUUGGUGUUCCCUUGAAGAGGAAAGGGUGAUGCGGCACAGAAGCGGUAAGUAUUUCCCUCAGUUUGAGAACCAAGGUAUCAAUCCAGUAGGAGGAGCGCGUCAAGUCACAAGUACCUGCACAAACACAAAGAGCUUGCACCCAAAGCUAUGAAGGGGUUGUCAAUCCCUUAUAGAUUGUUUGCAAAGUGAGAACUGAAAGCAAAAAGUAAACAAAGCAAAGUAAAAGUAAAAGUUGAGAUGAUAGUUGUGAAUAGACCCGGGGGCCGUAGUGUUCACUAGUGGCUUCUGUCAUGAAAGCAAGUAGACGGAGGGUGAACGAAUUACUGUUGAGCAAUUGAUAGAACCGCGCAAAGUCAUGACGUUAUCUAUGGCAAUGAUCAUACAUAUAGGCAUCACGUCCAAAACAAGUAGACCGAUACUUUCUGCAUCUACUACUAUUACUCCACACGUCGACCGCUAUCCAGCAUGCAUCUAGUGUAUUGAGUUCAUAAGAACAGAGUAACGCCUUAAGCAAGAUGACAUGAUGUAGAUGGACAAUCUCAAAUCUAUGACGAAAGCCCAUCUUGUUACCCUUGAUGGCAACAAGAUGAUGUGUGCCUUGCUGCCCCUUCUGUCACUCGGAAAGGUCACUCCACGGUAUGAACCCAAAACAAAGCACUUCUCCCAUUGCAAGAAUCACAGAUCUAGUUGGCCAAACAAAACCCAAGACUCAGAGAGACUUACAAGGAUAUCAAAUCAUGCAUAUAAGAAAUCAACAAAGACUCAAAUAUAAUUCAUAGAUAAUCUGAUCACAAAUCCACAAUUCAUUCGAUCUCGACAAACACACCGCCAAGAGGAUUACAUCGGAUAGAUCUCCAUGAAGAUCAUGGAGAACUUUGUAUUGAAGAUCCAAGAGAGAGAAGAAGCCAUCUAGCUACUAACUACGGACCCGUAGGUCUGAAGUAAACUACUCACGAGUCAUUGGAGAGGCAACGAUGUUGAUGUAGAAGCCCUCCAGCCCCAAAGUCCCCUCUGGCAGGGCACCGGGAAGGGUCUCGAGAUGAGAUCUUGCGGAAACGGAAGCUUGCGGCGGCGGAAAAGUGGUUUCGUGGACGCCCUGAUUUUUUCUGGGAUUUUAGGGAAUAUAUAGGCCAAAGAGCUAGGGCAGGGGAGCUCCAGGGAGGCCACAAGCCUGGUGGUCGCGGGCCCCCCUGGCCGCAGCGAUAGGGCUUGUGGGCUCCCUAUGGGCCUCCUGCCUUGGCCCUCAAGUCCCCCGAUCUUCUUCUGUUCUGGAAAAAUUCAUUUCGGGGAUUUUAUUCCGUUUGGACUCCGUUCCAAAAUCAGAUCUGAAAAGAGUCAAAAACACAGAAAAAACAGGAACUGGCACUUGGCACUGAAUUAAUAAUUUAGUCCCAAAAAAUAUAUAAAAGGUAUAUAAAACAUCCAAAGUUGACAAGAUAACAGCAUGAAACCAUCAAAAAUUUAUAGAUACGUUUGAGACGUAUCAAGCAUCCCCAAGCUUAACUCCUACUCGUCCUCGAGUAGGGAAGUGAUAAAGAAUGAAUUUUUGAUGCUUUCAUGCUACCUAGCAUAGAUGUCCUUUGUAACUCAUCUUAUGUGACGUGAAUGUUCAGAUCCAUUAGAUUCAAAACAAUAGUUUGCUAUUAACGUGGAGACAAUAAUACUUCAAGCAAACUAGCAAGGUAAUCAUGAACUUUCAAAAUAACAAGGCCAAAAGAAAGUUAUCCCUACAAAAUCAUAUUGUCUGGCUAUGCUCUAUCAUCCUUUCUCAACGAAUUUAGAUCAUGCACAACCUCGGUAUUGGCCAAGUAAUUGUUUUCACACCUUUACUUUCUCAAACUUUUUCAACUCUCACGCAAUACAUGACGUGAGCCAUGGUUUUAGCACUAUAAGUGGAAUGGAGUGUGGUGGAGGAUGCAACGCAAACAAGGAGAAGAUGGUCACAUUGACUAGGCAUAUCAACGAGCUAUGGAGAUGCUCAUCAAUAGAUAUCAAUGUGAAUGAGUAGGGAUUGCCAUACAAAUGAUGCACUAGAGCUAAGAGUAUGUGAAAGCUCUUAAAGAAAAACUAGUGGGUGUGCAUCCAACUUGCUUGCUCACGAAGACCUAAGGCAAUUUUGAGGAAGCCUAUCAUUGGAAUAUACAAGCCAAGUUAUAUAAUGAAAAUUUCCCACUAGCUAUAUGGUGGUGACAAAACGAGAGACUCUCGAUCAUGAAGAUCAUGGUGCUUCAUAAGCACAAGUGUGGAAAGAUAGUAGCACUGUCCCUUCUCUCUUUUUCUCUCAUUUUUUUGGUGGGCUCUUUGGCCUCUUAUUAUAUAUAUAUAUAUAUAUAUAUUGUGGGCAUCUUUGGCCGCUUUUUGUAAAUGGGCUUCGCUGGCCUCUUUUAUUUCCUCACAUGGGACAAUGCUCCAUCAAUGAUGAUCAUCACACUUACAACUCAAAACUUAGAGCAAUGAUGACUCUAUAAGGAAUGCCUUCGGUAGUGUACCGUGACAAUGAUCUAGCAUGGCAUAGACAUCAAUGGACACAUCAUGCUAGCUAUCUUAUGAUCAUGCAUGGCAAUGUAGAAGUGGUGGCACAUGUCAUGGUGGUAGUUGCAUGGCAAUAUAUCUCGGAAUGGCUUUGAAAAGCCAUAGUAUGUAGGUAUGGUGGCUGUUUUGAGGGAGGCUAUAUGGUGGGUUUUGUGCACCGGCGAAAGUUGCACGGCACUAAAGAAGAUUGUGAUGGUGGAAGGUGAAAGUGCAUCUAAACCAUGGACUCAACAUUAGUCAUGAAGAACUCACAUACUUGUUGCAAAGUUUUAGUAGUAAUCGAAACAAAGCAUUCAACGCAUACUCCUAGGAGAAGGGUUGGUAGGUAUAAACCAUCGCGCGAUCCCGACCGCCACACAAAGGAUGACAAUCAAUAAACUAAUCAUGCUCAGACUUCAUCACAUAGCGGUUCACCAUACGUGCAUGCUACGGGAAUCACUAACUUCAACACAAGCAUUUCUAGAUCCACAACACCUUACUAGUAUAACUUCAAUAUUACAACAACCACAACUCAAAACUAAUUGAUAUGAAUCAAACUUCUCUAACUACUCAAUGCACAUGAAGGUGGAAGUUUUCAUAUCCCUUUGGAUAACUACCCCUUUUGAGACUACUUUCAUAGCAUAGAUCAACUACCACGCCAUGCGCUUCCGUGCUCUAAAAGAUAGAAGUGAAACACAUAGAGAAAAAUCAACUAGCUCAAAAGAUAUAAGUGAAACACAUGUGAGCUGAAUUGUCUAACCAAAGGAUAUAAGUGAAGCUCAACAAAAUCACGGUGAGUGCAUGUCUCUCUCUCUAGGUGUGCAGCAAGGAAGAUUGUGACACAACAAAAAUAAAAGACUCCUACGAUACAAGACGCUCCAAGCAAAACACAUAACAUGUGGUGAAUAAAAAUAUAGCCCCAAGUAAUGUUACCGAGGGAUUGAAGACGAAAGAGGGGAUGCCUUCCCGGGGCAUCCCCAAGAUUAGGCUUUUUCGGCAAUCUUGAAUCAACUUGGGGUGCCUUGGGCAUCCCCAAGCUUGAGCUCUUGCCACACUUUAUCUCUUUGUCCAUAAGAACUUCACCCAAAACUUGAAAACUUCACAAUACGAAACUUAGACAAAAACUCGUGAUAUCAUUAGUAUAAUAAAGCAAAUCACCACUUCCUUAGGUACUGUAGCAAAUUUAAAUUAUACUUAUGUUGAUGUUGGGUUACUGUAUUUUCAAUAUUCCAUGGCUAAUNNNNNNNNNNNNNNNNNNNNNNNNNNNNNNNNNNNNNNNNNNNNNNNNNNNNNNNNNNNNNNNNNNNNNNNNNNNNNNNNNNNNNNNNNNNNNNNNNNNNNNNNNNNNNNNNNNNNNNNNNNNNNNNNNNNNNNNNNNNNNNNNNNNNNNNNNNNNNNNNNNNNNNNNNNNNNNNNNNNNNNNNNNNNNNNNNNNNNNNNNNNNCAAAAUAAGCAACCAACUCAACAAAAACAGAAUCUGUUAACAGCAGACCAGUCUGUAGCAAUCUGUAUACUUCGUAUACUUCUGGUACUUCAACAAUUCUGAAAAAUUACGAUAGUCUGAAUAAUUUGCAUAGCAAUCAGCAGCAAAAAGAAUCAACUCAAAAUCUCUCACAGAAAACAAAUGAAAAUUCUUUUCGUGAGCAGAAAGUUUAUGUCUUUUCUAGCACGAUCAAACGAUCAUCCCCAAGACUAAUCAUAAUGGUUUCACUUGGCACAAACGCAAAAGAAACACAAAAAACACAAUCAUAACAGAAUUAUGAAAGUGUGGAAAACACAAAACAGAAAUAAAAAGGAUAGAUUCGUUGGGUUGCCUCCCAACAAGCGCUUCUGUUUAACGCCCUUAGUUAGUCAUAAGGUGAUGGAAUCACGUAUAGUCAUCUUUGGUGCUCAAACCAUAAGUAGCCCUCAUCAUAGAUUCAUAAGGCAAUCUUAUUUUCUUUCUAGGAAAAUGCUCCAUGCCCUUCAUUAGAGGAAAUUGAAAUAUAAUAUUCCCUUCCUUCAUAUCGAUGAUAGCACCAAUAGUCCUUAGGAAAGGUCUACCAAGAAUAAUGGGACAUGAAGGAUUGCAAUCUAUGUCAAGUACAAUGAAAUCCACGGGUACAUAGUUCGUAUUUGCAACGAUAAGAACAUCAUUGAUCCUUCCCAUGGGUUUCUUGACAGUAGAAUCCGCAAGAUGCAAAUUAAGAGAACACUCUUCAAUCUCAUGAAAACCAAGAAUAUCACAUAAAGACUUUGGAAUCGCGGAAACACUAGCACCCAAAUCACACAAAGCAUUGCAUUCAUAGNNNNNNNNNNNNNNNNNNNNNNNNNNNNNNNNNNNNNNNNNNNNNNNNNNNNNNNNNNNNNNNNNNNNNNNNNNNNNNNNNNNNNNNNNNNNNNNNNNNNUGUGUGCUGUGUUUCAGAGAGUCGAGAGGCAACAAGUGGUAUCAGAGCCAUGUCAAGGACGCCGGCGGCCGCGGCAAGGACGUCCGCGGGCGGCUCAGGGCGUUCGCAGACCCCUCCACGCCUCCGUGCACCGUCCCAGGAUCGGGGACGAACUCGUCGCCGCGGCGACAUGCCUAUGCAGCCGAUGGUGCAGCCGGCGCCCUCUUCGGGCGCGCUCCCGAUGCUGACACGCACUAACUACGCCGAGUGGGCUCUGCUCAUGAAGGUCUACCUUCAGGCCCAUGGCUGGUGGGGGCGGUAUCCCAUGGCGACGUCUCCUUCCACCACGAGCGCAACGCGAUGAUCACCAUCUUGCGCGGCCUCCCUUCGGAUGCGCUGCUCGCGGUGGGAGAGAAGGAGACCGCCAAGGAGGCGUGGGACGCCAUCGCCCUGCAGCGCCUCGGUGCCACGCGUGUGCGCGAGGCCAACGCGCAGAAACUCCGGCGUGACUUCGAAGGCAUCACUUUCCGCGACGGUGAGACAAUCGACGACUUCUCGCUCCGCCUGUCAGGGAUUGUCACCGGCCUGCGCGCCCUUGACGACACCAUGGAAGAAUCAAAGGUAGUGGCCAAGUUUUUGCGCGUGGUUCCACCUCAGUUCACGCAGGUGGCGAUCGUGAUCGAGACGCUGCUGGACAUCAGCACGCUCCGACGAGGUCACCGGCAGACUACGCGUCGUGCAGGACCGCCUCGACGACGCACAAGGCGGCAGCAGCAGCCAAGGUGGGCGGCUGCUUCUCACUCGGGAGGAGUGGCAGGCCAGCGAACUGCAGCCGCGUGCCUCGGGCGGCAACAACAACCGUCGCAAGGGCGGCGGCCGUGGCCGAGGAAGGGGCCGCGGUGGAGGAUGUGGCGCCGCGCGCGGCGCGGACUACCCCGACAAGAGCGGCGGGGACAAGGAGAAGUGUCGAUACUGCGGCAUCAAGGGCCACUGGGCUCGCGAAUGCAGGAAGAAGAAGAGGGAGGAGGAGGCCCUUCUCGCCCAGGCCGAUGAGGAGGCCGAUCCUCGGAUGCUGUUCGCCGAGGUGGUCGAGCUCGUGCACCCGAUCCAGACGGAUUCGCCGGCCGAUGAUCGUCGUGAUCCUCCCCAGGUCGUUGUCUUCCUCAACGAGGAGCACUCCAGCGUCGCUCCAGCCACAGGGGAUGCUGCCCCGGACCCAGUGUGGUACCUGGACACUCGCGCGUCCAACCACAUGACCGGCGACCGCGCGGCAUUCACCGAGCUCGACAACGCGAUCACCGGAUCCGUGCGGUUCGGGGACGACUCGGUGGUCCAGAUCGAAGGGCACGGCACCGUCGCAUUCGCCACCGAUAGGGGAGCGCAACGCGCCCUGGUGGAUGUGUACUACAUCCCCAGGCUCAAGAGCAGCGUGGUGAGCCUCCGACAACUCGACGAGAACGGCUGCGACAUCAACGUCCACCACAGUAUCCUCUCCGUCCACGACCGCCGCGGCGCCCUAAUUGUCAAGGUAAAGCGAUCUCCAAAUCGUCUGUACAAAUUGCACAUUCACCCCGUGCGCCCGGUCUGUCUCGGUGCGCGCACGGACAGCAUGUCAUGGCGCUGGCACGCCCGCUUCGGCCACCUGCACAUCGACGCUCUGCAGAGGAUGGCGCGGGGAGGAAUGGUGCGAGGGCUGCCAGGCAUUGAGCAUUCCGGAGAGCUCUGCCAGGCGUGCCUUGCCGGCAAGCAACGUCGGGCGCCGUUUCCCCAGACGGCCAAGUACAGAGCGGAGGCGCCGCUCGACCUCAUCCACGCGGACCUCUGCGGAGCGAUCACGCCAGCGACACCAGGAGGACGGCGCUACUUCCUCCUUCUCGUGGACGAUCACAGCCGCUACAUGUGGCUCAACCUGCUGACAAGCAAGGACGAGGCCGCGGCAGCGAUCAAGGAAUUCCAGGCGCGUGUUGAGACAGAAGCACGGCGUAAGCUGGGCACACUGCGGACGGACCGUGGUGGAGAGUUCAUGUCCACGGCGCUGGCAAAGCACUUCGCAUCCACCGGAGUACAGCGCCAUCUGACCGCGCCCUACUCACCGCAGCAGAACGGCGUGGUCGAGAGGCGCAACCAGACGGUGGUGGGCAUGGCAAGGAGCAUGAUGAAAGCCAAGGGCAUGCCGGACUACUUCUGGGAGAGGCGGUGACCACGGUCGUCUACCUCCUGAACCGGGCGUUCACGCGCAGCGUGGACGGGGCGACUCUGUACGAGGCCUGGCACGGCAGGAAGCCGGAGGUGAGCCACCUGCGCGUCUUCGAGUGCGUGGCGCAUGUCAAGAGCGCGUGCCCCCUUCUGAAGAAGCUGGACGACCGGAGCACUCCCAUGGUACACAUCGGGUAUGAGCCCGGCUCCAAGGCGUACAGGGUGUACGACCCGGCGACGCGUCGGGUGCACGUGUCCCGCGACGUCGUGUUUCACGAGAGCGCGAGCUGGGAUUGGAGCAACGAGACGGCGGGCACAGGCGGCUCCUUCGUCGUCGACUUCUCGGCAUAUGGAGGACCCCUUGAAGAUGUGGUCACGCCGGCAAGAACUUCUGCUCCGCCGUCACCCGAACCUGCCACCGGGGGAGCUGGAUUGAGCACGCCUACAUCGCCACGCCCCGUUUCCGCUGCCGGGACAGAGAACUCGCCAGCAGCAGGCGGCGCGUCCGCUGCCACUCCUGUCUGGCAGGAUGUGCAGUUCGCAACCCCGCCGCCUCAUGACGCGGACAUGUUCGACGACGCAGACGAUCCCGACGCCGUGCACCGCUUUCGCCGCCUGGAUGAUCUGGUCAACCUUGGCGCGGCGCAAGGCGGGAGGACAGAGCAUCUCCUCCUACUACCUAAGGGAGAGCCGGCGACGUUCGCAGAAGCGGAGCCCCAUGCGGCGUGGCGGGCAGCGAUGAUCGAAGAGAUGGGGUGCAUUGAGUCCAACGAGACCUGGUCUCUCUGCGAUCUGCCCGCAGGUCACCGACCCAUCGGCCUGAAGUGGGUCUUUAAGGAGAAGAGGAACGCCGCCGGCGAGGUGAUCAAACACAAGGCCCGUCUGGUGGCGAAGGGUUUUGUGCAGCGUGCCGGCAUCGACUUUGAAGAAGUCUUCGCCCCGGUGGCCCGUCUCGACUCCGUGCGUGUGUUGCUCGCCGCAGCCGCACAGGAAGGGUGGGAGGUGCACCACCUGGAUGUCAAAUCAGCCUUCCUCAACGGCGAACUUGAGGAGGAGGUGUACGUGGUGCAGCCUCCCGGAUUCGAGCACGCCGGUGCGACGAGCAAGGUGCUCCGGCUGCACAAAGCGCUAUAUGGGCUGCGUCAGGCACCAAGGGCGUGGUACGCGAAGCUCGACAGCAGCCUCAAUGCUCUCGGCUUCGAGAAAUUCCCAUCCGAGCACGCAGUGUACACGCGCGCUGGCCACGGCGGACGGCUCCUGGUGGGCGUGUACGUGGACGACUUGAUCAUCACCGGAGCGUCCACGGCGGCGAUUGUUGAGUUCAAGAAGGAGAUGAUGGGGCUCUUUAAGAUAAGCGAUCUGGGGCUACUGAGCUAUUACCUCGGCAUCGAGGUGGACCAAAGGCCGGGCCGGAUCGUCAUCGCGCAGUCCUCGUACGCCGGCAAGCUGUUAGAGAAGGCAGACAUGGCCGACUGUCACCCCAUGGCCACGCCGAUGCAGCCGUGCCUCAAGCUCAGGCGGGACGGGGCCGGCGAACUCGUGGACGCCACAUACUACAGGAGCGUGGUGGGAAGCCUACGCUACCUCACCCAUACGCGACCUGGCAUCACCUACGCCGUCGGGUAUGUCAGCAGGUUCAUGGAGGCACCGACGAGAGAACACUGGGUCGCUGUGAAGCAGCUUCUCAGGUACAUCGCCGGCACACGACAACUAGGGUGUUGCUAUGCCCGGCAGGAGCGCGGCACAGAGCUCGUCGGCUACAGCGACUCGGACCUCGGGGGAGACCUGGAUGACCGCAAGAGCACGAGUGGCACCAUCUUCUUCCUCAGAGGCAGUCCGGUGUCGUGGCAGUCAGCCAAGCAGAAGAUCAUCGCACUCUCCUCGUGCGAAGCGGAGUACGUCGCCGCGGCUGGAGCUGCCUGUCAGGGCAUCUGGCUCAGGCGGCUAAUCGGAGAAUUACUUGGGCGUGACGACGGCGCCAUCAGGCUCUGCAUCGACAACAAGUCAGCGAUCGCGCUAAGCAAAAACCCUGUCUUCCACGACAGGAGCAAACACAUUGAGCUGCGCUACCAUUUCAUCCGUCGGUGCGUCGAGGACGGCAGCAUCAAUGUUCAGUAUGUGUGGACCGGCGAUCAGCUUGCGGACAUUUUCACCAAGGCGCUCGGUCGGAUCCAUUUCCAGGAGAUGCGUGAUCUAGUGGGAGUCGUCAGAUGCAAGAAAACCUAGCUUAGGGGGAGUUUGUUUCACAAUAAGCUAGGUUAGCUAGCAGGUUCAGUUUUCAGUUAGUUCAGUUAGCAGAUAGGUUCAGUUAGCAUUUCCUUCUCGUCAGGUUAGUUAGUCCCUCCCGCAAGANNNNNNNNNNNNNNNNNNNNNNNNNNNNNNNNNNNNNNNNNNNNNNNNNNNNNNNNNNNNNNNNNNNNNNNNNNNNNNNNNNNNNNNNNNNNNNNNNNNNCUGAAACACAGCACACACGAGAGAUUUUGCGCAGCGAGCUCCGUGCUGCUUUUCUGCUUUCUUCUCCUUUUAUUCCUUAACUGAAACGAACGUGUCGCGGUUCCUGCACUCCGACUAGAUCGUGCCAUCCCACGAUCGAGCACUUGGUCCACGACGAGCUAAAACUCCUCCCAGAUCGCACGAAUGCUUCUUGCGGGAGGGACUAACUAACCUGACGAGAAGGAAAUGCUAACUGAACCUAUCUGCUAACUGAACUAACUGAAAACUGAACUUGCUAGCUAACCUAGCUUAUUGUGCAACAAAUUUAGUUUCUACAUUUAUUUUCUUAGAAGGUUUAGGUGUCCUAAUAUUACUUUUAUUAACCAUAUUUGAAGCUUUAGCAUGUUCCUUAAUCCUAACAGGAAGAGGUGGUUUCUCAAUAUAAUCAGUAGGCAUAAAUGGAUGAACAUAGCAAACAAUUGUUUCUUCUUUAACUUUAAUGGGUUCCUCUAAAAAUUCUUCAAUAGGUGGAUGGAAUUUAAACCACUUCUCCUUAGGUAGAUCAACAUGAGUAACAAAUGAUUCACAGAAAGAAGCUACUAUCUCAUAGUCAAGCCCAUACUUAUUGCUAAACUUAUGAAAAGUAUAAGUUUCCAUAAAAGAUUUAAGACAAUCAAACUCAAGAUUUAUACAUGACUCUUUACCUUUGUCAAUUUCCCAAUCUCCAGAGUUGCAAUUAAUUCUUUUCAGAAAAUCCCAUUUGAAUUCAAUAGUUUUCUUCAUGUAGGAACCAGUGGAAGAAGAAUCCAAUAUUAAUUGAUCAUCACAAGAAUGACGAGCAUAAAAGUUUUGUUAUGAUAAUUCUCUUGAGAGCUCAUGGUUGGGGCAAGUGUGUAUCGUAGAUUUAAGCCUCCCCCAAGAUUGAGUGAUGAUUUCUCCUCCACGAGGCUAGAAACUAUAUAUAUAGUUUCAAGCACAAUGAACUAGAUGCAUACGAUAAAACUUUUGAGGAAAUUCCAGUUUCAAGCGAUCAAGUCCCAUGAUCCAAUAUAAUCCAAUAGCCUACACCAAAUAAAUGCUUUUCCCUCAAAAUAUAAAGGCAAAACCUUCUUCUUAACUUUGUCCUCGGAUAAACCUGCAAGCUUAAAUAAUCCACAAAUCUCAUCUACAUAUAUGAAGUGCAAAUCAAGAUGAGUUGUACCGCCUCCUGCAUAAGGAUUAGCUAGCAGUUUCUCUAACAUACCAGAAGGAAUAUAAUAACAAAUAUUUUAAUAAAGUUUAGUAGGUGAGGGAGCAUAUUUUUCCACUUCCUUUCGACGCGAAGAUAUCCCGAACAAAGCUCUCAAAGGAAUAUUAUCCAUAUUGACAAGCCAAGGUAAAUUUCAACACGUACCGAAAAGGUUUCCUUACCAUAUUCCAUUUACCAAAGGUGCUUCACUCCCUGGCUACCGCGCCAGAAAAGAGUCUUGAUGACCCACAUAUAUAAGGGAUCAAUCUUAGUCAUUUAUAUAAGUAAGAGUGUCGAACCCAACGAGGAGCAGAAGGAAAUGAUAAGAUGUUUUCAACAAGGUAUUCCGUGCAAGUGCUGUGAGUAGUAGUGAGAGAUACUUUUGUAGCAAGAUAAUUGGUAGCAAGUAACAAGUAAUAAGAAAGAAAAGUAUCAAGGGUGCAACAAGGUGGACCAAUCAUUUUUGUAGAAAAGGACAAGCCUAAAAGUUCCCUUAUAUAAAGGAAAAUGCUCUCGAGGACACAUGGGAAUUUCCAUCUAGUCAUGUUCAUCAUGUUGAGUAGAUUCAUGUCGUUACUUUGAUAAUUUGAUAUGUGGGUGGAACGGUGCUAAGGUGCUGUUCUUACUUGAACAAGCAAACCACUUAUGAUUACCCCCUCUCACAAUCAUCCGCAAAUAUGAAACAAGAAUUAAGAUAAAUAUAACCAUAGCAUGAAACAUAUGGAUCCAAAUGUGCCCCUUAUGAAAUAACACACAAACUAGGGUUUAAGGUUAUGUCACUCUAGCGACCCAUCAUCUACUUAUUACUCCAAAAUGCCUUCCCUUAGGCCCAAGUAUGGUGAAGUUUGAUGUAGUCAACGUUCACAUGACACCACUAAAGGAAGCAACAUCAUACACAUCAUCAAAAUAUCAAACGAAUACCAAAUUGUCAUGAAGACUUAUAACAAGACUUACCCCAUGUGCUUGAUAACAAAAUAAACUACUCACAAAUUAUCACCAUGUUCAAGAUUAGAGGUGUAAAGAAUAUGAUAAAGGAUCUGAACACAUUAUCUUCCACCAAACAAACUAACUAGCAUUAACUGCAAGACAUAAUCAACACUACUAGUAACCCACAGGUACAAAUCUGAGGUUUUGAGACAAGGAUUAAAUACAAUAUAUGAACUAGGGUUUGAGAUGAUGGUGCUGGUGAACAUGUUGAUGAAUAUUGGUCUUCCCACGAAGUAGGAAGCAUUGGUGAUGACGAUGGCUUCGAUUUCCCCCUCCUCGAGAGACGUUUCCUCGAUAGAAUCACUCUGUCGGAGAGAAAAAGGACCUCUUCCCAGGUUUGCGCCUCGAGAAGGCGGUGCUUCAUCCCGAAAUUAUCUUUUUUUCUAGGUCAAAAUCCAUAAUGUAGCAGAAGAGGGGGAGGGUUGGAGGUAGCCUCAAUCCAUCAGAGCGUACCUAGGGGUGUGGGAGCAGACUGUUGGCUUGGCACCAAUAGGUGGCCCCCUCUGAUACUUCUUUGCUCCGUAAAUUCAGAUAUAUUCCACAAAUUUUCCUCUGAAGUUUCAGGACAUUUGGUGUCCAGGGAAUUUUCAGCUUUUUUCAUGGUUUUAGGUGCAAAAUUCUAGUUUUUGGCCAUUUCGCUCUUUGGGUUGUACCUUGUAAAUUAAGAGAGAAAAGGCAUACGAAUUGCAUCAUAAAUUGAUAUAAUAACCAAGAACAAUAUAGUUAUCAGUAAGAAAUCAUGAUGCAAAAUGGACGUAUGUGACAUCUUUCUCUAUAAUUCCUUUCAAUAAAUUGUUUUCUUGCUGAAGUGUAACUUGGCUAAGAGAAUCAUUAGUGGAAUUAAUAGAGGUACUAGGAAUGUCACAUCCCUGGAUCCCUAACUAGGCUUUAGUAUUUGUGCUCAUGUUUUCUUGCAUUGCAUUCAAGAAUUUGAAACAAACUCCAAAGAAGUGGUGCAACUCAAACCAAAAACCCUAGCCACCUCUUAUUCAAAGGAAAUUCAAAUCUUGCCAAAAUCAAUGAACCCAAAAUGGCCUCAAGAAAAGUUCAAUAUUUCUGAUAAAUAAUGAAAACAAUUUAUCACGGGAGAAAACUAUUUUCAAAACACCCUUGGCAUUUAUUUUUAAUUCAGAAAGCCCCUGAAUUCAAACUUAAAUUUGAAUUCAAAUAUUUUCAAGUUUCAAAAAUGUUGCAAACCCCAGGAGUAGUUGGGAAUAUUCCAACUAACACUCACGGCUAUUCAAACUAAUUUUUGAAUUGCUUUUUGAAUCAAAAAUAAAUAGCAAAUAAAAUCAGCAAAUAAAAUAGAAAACAGAAAUAGAAGAAAAAGAAAAAAAACCCUAAUCUACGCUCACCUGCGAGGCCCAGCCCACCAGGGGCAGGGUCGUCUUCUUCCUUUGCCUUGUGGCAAAGGAGAGAUCGACCACGACGGCCUCCUCCACCUCCUGCUUUGCCGUGGUGUUCUCCGGUGCCCCCAGGACAACGCGACAAUGGGGAUGACUUCCCCGAACACUUCCCUAUCCAUCCCCGCUCUCCAUUCCUCCCCCUCCUCUCGGUUUCUUCCCUCUCCUCCUGCCGCCAUUGAUAGGAGCUUGAGCUCUAUGGCCACAGGGGACCCUCCCCGAGUGCUCNNNNNNNNNNNNNNNNNNNNNNNNNNNNNNNNNNNNNNNNNNNNNNNNNNNNNNNNNNNNNNNNNNNNNNNNNNNNNNNNNNNNNNNNNNNNNNNNNNNNACCCUCCCCGAGUGCUCCAUCCUCUCCGCAACAUCGAGCUCGACGCGCACGUCAACGGAACCGUCCUCCCCGAGCCCUGCAACGCCCCAGUGCCGUCGUCUUCAACCUCCGGCCGCCGGCAAAUCGACGGUGGAUCGCCGGCUACAGCCCCUCCCCGAGGAGUCUGAGCCCAGCUUCGUCUCCACCAUGAGCUUGCGAGCAUUUCCCCUCUGUUUCCCCUCUCUCUCCGGCACUCGAGCCACGGAACCGACGAGCCCGAGCUCCGGAAGCCGCCUCGGCUCGUCGCCGGCAUGCUCCGGCCACCUAUAGCCCCUCCUGAUGCCCGUAGAGGAUGAGGCCGAGCAUGGGGAUCAUCCCAGUGCUCUCGGCACUCGAUCCCGAGCACCACAACACGCCCUGGUGCAUCUCCGGCGAAGAUCCGCCGCGGAUCUGGUCGCCGCCGGUCAGUCUCCGAGAGGGGACGACGUGGCCGGCCUAAUCCUGGUGGUUUAACACUAAUUAGCCACUCACAGUGGGCCCUAGCACUGGGUCAAACCCACUUAGGGGCUGGUAAGCGCGGGAUUAACUCCUGAGAUGCUGACGAGUGGCCCCCACUUGUCAGGUUUGACCUGACUAGGUCAGUUGACCUGCUGACGCAAUGCUGACAUGGUUAUGGCGCAAUAAAGAGAUUUUUUGAUUUAAAAGAAUUCCAGAAAAUGCCCAAAAAUGCUAAAAAUCAUAGAAAAUAAUCUGUAACUCCAAUGAAAAUAAUUUAUAUAUGAAAAAGUAUGAGAAAAAUCCAAGGAAUCUGAUUUUGAUAUUUUCAAACAUGUUUCAAAAUGUUAACAUCACCAAAUAUGUUAAAUGAUGAAUAGGAUAACCUUAUUAAAUAUUUAUGAGUUGGAAUUUAAAAUCCAUUUGAAUUCCACCUCAACUAAUAUGACCAAACAAUGAUCAAGAACAAUCAGCACCUCAAAAUACCAUCUUCAUGCAUGCUAAAACAAGAUUACCUGAGCAUUAGGUCAAAUCAAUUAAAAUGGUAUUUGAAAAUACCUUGUUUGAAGUUAUAUUUGAAUCUUGAUUCAACUACUCUUCCACUUAAGAAAUGGUAGCUACAUUAGCCUACCACCUUUAAUUUUCAUGCCAUUCUCAUGCAUCAUCUUGUUGCAUAUGAUUGUUAUUGAUUGAUAUUGUUUUACCGGUAGGCCCCGCUCCUUCGGAUUCCACCGAAUAUCCGACUGACGGAUAUUGUCCCUCUGUUGAGCAACAAGGCAAGCAACCAUUUUGAUCAUCCCGAUAAAUCCCAUGUUCUCGCUCCUGCUCUUAUUUCUUGCAUUAAGACAAAUGCUUUCACUGCUUUUACCAUGUUAGUUGAACCGACUUCCUUUGCAUGACCUAUCUUUGUCACAGUAAAUAGCUGAACCUUGCAACCUAGCAUACCUAGUAGAUGCUUGAGCCAUGAUGUGCCUUAUCCUGCUAUGCAUGCUAUGUUUAGAGUUGUGUAUGGUCUGUCAUCUGGGAGAUGGACAAAAUUGUGAGAUUGUGUUCAGUAUAUAAAGGUUGUGUGUUGAACCUGAUUUGGUAAAGGUACUGGUGAAAGGCUAUGUAGGAGUACAUGGCGGGUUGUUUCAUUGGAACCGUCCUUAGGAACUGAGUUCUGUGUUUUUAAUCCAAGACGAUAUACUACCACAUGUUGGGCCCUGAAAUAUGACUCAGCUCGACUUAUUAAUCGCUUAGUACUCGGUCCAGCAGUUGCAAGUAGUUUCUGGUGUUUAUAGUCAUGCUCGAGGGCGUGCGUAGCGCUGACCUUAGAGGUGGGUUAUGAUGCGGUAGGCAAUGGCACGGUGUACCAACUAGCACAGGAUGGUGGGCUUGGGAACCCUGCGCACAUUGUUUGGGGCCGUGGCGGAAAUCUCGGCCGGACUUCCGUGUGGGUUACCCUCAGAUAGGCGAUAGACCCGGACUAAGUAUUAGUGUGGUUAACAGUCGUGGCUGACUCCCUCGUCGGGCUUCCGCUUGAAGGUUGCCGAGGUGCAUGACGUGCACAUGGCGAUAAGUGGCGAGAGCGUGUGUGAAGAAGUACACCCCUGCAGGGUUAUGAUCUAUUCGAAUAGCCGCGUACACGGAUAUGGACUACUUGGAAACAUAUGUUGUUCAUAGAUAACUAUAAUGGCUACUCAUAAAAUUGUCAAGAUAAGCGUGAGUGUCNNNNNNNNNNNNNNNNNNNNNNNNNNNNNNNNNNNNNNNNNNNNNNNNNNNNNNNNNNNNNNNNNNNNNNNNNNNNNNNNNNNNNNNNNNNNNNNNNNNNUGUUGGGGAACGUCACAUGGGAAACAAAAAUUUUCCUACGCGCACGAAGACCUAUCAUGGUGAUGUCCAUCUACGAGAGGGGAUGAGUGAUCUACGUACCCUCGUAGAUCGUACUGCAGAAGCGUUAGAGAACGCGGUUGAUGUAGUGGAACGUCCUCACGUCCCUCGAUCCGCCCCGCGAACAAUCCCGCGAUCAGUCCCACGAUCUAGUACCGAACGGACGGCACCUCCGCGUUCAGCACACGUACAGCUCGACGAUGAUCUCGGCCUUCUUGAUCCAGCAAGAGAGACGGAGAGGUAGAAGAGUUCUCCGGCAGCGUGACGGCGCUCCGGAGGUUGGUGAUGAUCUUGUCUCAGCAGGGCUCCGCCCGAGCUCCGCAGAAACGCGAUCUAGAGGAAAAACUAUGGAGGUAUGUGGUCGGGCAGCCGUGAGAAAGUCGUCUCAAAUCAGCCCUAAAACCUCCGUAUAUAUAGGUGGGAGGGAGGGGAGGAGGCAGCCUCAAAACCUAAAGGUUUGGCCGAAAUUGGAGGUGGAGGAGUCCUACUCCAAUCCUACUUGGAGUAGGAUUCCACCUUCCCACUUGGAAACUCUUUCCACCUUGUGUUUUUUCCUUCUCAAACCUUAUGGGCCUUAGUGGGAACUUAUUCCAGCCCACUAGGGGCUGGUUUAUCUCUUCCCAUAGCCCAUGAGACCCCUUGGGGCGUGACACCCCUCCCGAUGGUCCCCGGCACCCCUCCCGGCACUCCCGGUACACUACCGAUGAGCCCGAAACUUUUCCGGUAAUGCACGAAAACCUUCCGGUAACCAAAUGAGGUCAUCCUAUAUAUCAAUCUUCAUUUCCGGACUAUUCCGGAAACCCUCGUGACGUCCGUGAUCUCAUCCGGGACUCCGAACAACAUUCGGUAACCAACCAUAUAACUCAAAUACGCAUAAAACAACGUCGAACCUUAAGUGUGCAGACCCUGCGGGUUCGAGAACUAUGUAGACAUGACCCGAGAGACUCCUCGGUCAAUAUCCAAUAGCGGGACCUGGAUGCCCAUAUUGGAUCCUACAUAUUCUACGAAGAUCUUAUCGUUUGAACCUCAGUGCCAAGGAUUCAUAUAAUCCCGUAUGUCAUUCCCUUUGUCCUUCGGUAUGUUACUUGCCCAAGAUUCGAUCGUCAGUAUCCGUAUACCUAUUUCAAUCUCGUUUACUGGCAAGUCUCUUUACUCGUUCCGUAAUACAAGAUCCCGCAACUUACACUAAGUUACAUUGCUUGCAAGGCUUGUGUGUGAUGUUGUAUUACCGAGUGGGCCCCGAGAUACCUCUCCGUUCACACGGAGUGACAAAUCCCAGUCUUGAUCCAUACUAACUCAACUAACACCUUCGGAGAUACCUGUAGAGCAUCUUUAUAGUCACCCAGUUACGUUGCGACGUUUGAUACACACAAAGUAUUCCUCCGGUGUCAGUGAGUUAUAUGAUCUCAUGGUCAUAGGAAUAAAUACUUGACACGCAGAAAACAGUAGCAACAAAAUGACACGAUCAACAUGCUACGUCUAUUAGUUUGGGUCUAGUCCAUCACAUGAUUCUCCUAAUGAUGUGAUCCCGUUAUCAAGUGACAACACUUGCCUAUGGCCAGGAAACCUUGACCAUCUUUGAUCAACGAGCUAGUCAACUAGAGGCUUACUAGGGACAGUGUUUUGUCUAUGUAUCCACACAAGUAUUGUGUUUCCAAUCAAUACAAUUAUAGCAUGGAUAAUAAACGAUUAUCAUGAACUAAGAAAUAUAAUAAUAACUAAUUUAUUAUUGCCUCUAGGGCAUAUUUCCAACANNNNNNNNNNNNNNNNNNNNNNNNNNNNNNNNNNNNNNNNNNNNNNNNNNNNNNNNNNNNNNNNNNNNNNNNNNNNNNNNNNNNNNNNNNNNNNNNNNNNUCGACAAAUACACCACAAAAGAAGAUUACAUCGGAUAGAUCUCCAUGAAGAUCAUGGACCACUUUGUAUUGAAGAUCCAAGAGAGAGAAGAAGCCAUGCAGCUACUAGCUAUGGACCCGUAGGUCUACGGUGAACUACUCACGCAUCAUCGGAGAGGUCAUGGUGUUGAUGAAGAAGCCCUCCGUAUCCGAAUCCCCCUCCGCCAGGGCACCAGAAUGUGCCCAGAUGGGAUCUUGUGGAGACAGAAGCUUGUGGCAGCAGAAAAGCACUUUCGAUGAUCUCUUGAUUUUUUCUGGAAUUUUUGGGAAUAUAUAGGCGAAAGACCUAGGGCAGAGGAGGCCCAGGGAGCCCACAAGCCUGGGAGGCGCGGGCCCCCCUGGCCGCGGCUAGGGGGCUUGUGGGGUCCCUGGUGGCCCCAUGCCUUGGUUCUCAAGUCCCCUGAUCGUCUUCUGUUUUGAAAAAAAAUCUUUUUGGAAGUUUCGUUCCAUUUGGACUCCGUUUAAAAUCCUCCUUUGAAAAGGGUCAAAAACACGGAAAAAAUAGGAACUAGCACUUGGCACCGAGUUAAUAAGUUAGUCCCAAAAAAGAUAUAAAAGGCAUACAAAACAUCCAAAGUUUGACAAGAUAAUAGCAUGAAACCAAGAAAAAUUAUAGAUAUGUUGGAGACGUAUCAAUAGGGGCGAAAUUAUUACAUGCAUGCAACUAAAAAUCAAAAAAAUAAAAAAAAGUUGGUAAUGGCGCACAAGGGGAAGGUGCGCCAUUGCUAUCACCUUACUUAUGGCGCACCACUAGAAGGUGCGCCAUUGCUAUCACCUUAGUUAUGGCGCACCACUAGAAGGUGCGCCAUUGCUAUCAACUUACUUAUGGCGCACCCCUAAAUGGUGCACCAUUGCUACCCUCCCCCACUAUACCAAUUCAUUCCCCCUGCCCUCACUCUCCGCACAACGCCUGUUGUUUCUCCCCACCUCUCCUCGAUCUCGCUGGAACUCCCUCCUCCUCCUCNNNNNNNNNNNNNNNNNNNNNNNNNNNNNNNNNNNNNNNNNNNNNNNNNNNNNNNNNNNNNNNNNNNNNNNNNNNNNNNNNNNNNNNNNNNNNNNNNNNNNNNNNNNNNNNNNNNNNNNNNNNNNNNNNNNNNNNNNNNNNNNNNNNNNNNNNNNNNNNNNNNNNNNNNNNNNNNNNNNGGGGACUGCGCCGCCGGGGACUCCCUCCUCCUCCUCCAUGGGGACUGCGCCGCUGGGGACUCCCUCCUCCUCCACAGGGCUGCCCUGCAGGGGACUCCCUCCUCCUCCUCCACGGGGACUGCGCCGCCGGGGACUCCCUCCUCCCCCUCCGCCUCCGCUGCCAGCUGUCGAGGUCCUCCUCUCCAAGGUAUUUAUCCCUCUUCCCGCUCUUCUACUUGUUCUUCUAGGCGCAAGGUUCGAUCUCGAUCUGUUAUUGGAAGCUAAUUUGUACUCUGGUGCAAGUGGAUAUAUCUAACAACGCUUAUAAUUGAGAUGCUUUUUUCUUUUUUGACAAGAUAGUCACUAUGAAUUUGUCAUGUCCAUGAGCAGAGCCGCUUGGUUGAGUAGUCCUAGGAUAUUUAACUACCGCCAGUAAAUUUUGUUUGCAUAUUUUGUAAAAUUUCCCAAGACUUUUGUAUAUAAAACUGCACACAAAUUCUAUAUGUCAAUUUAGUCUUGAUGAUGCUCUGCAUGCCUCAUUUGGAGUUGGAAAACUCAAGCAAUCCAAAUAGGUAAACAUUCUGCACAAAUAUUCUGAACCAAGUAGUACUAGUCUUCAUUUUUAGCUUGAAAGAAAAUACUUGCGCACUCGAAUGUUGUUCGGCCAGAGCCUGCGAUAUGCUCACGAUACCAUGCAUCAUCCUUAUUGAAAAGGACGAUCUUCUGAUUGCGAACGAAAAUUUAUGUGCAAACUUGAAAACCUUGUGGUUGGGGACUAUUAACAUGACUAACAUGCACAAAUGCCUCUUGAUGAAGUAGUGGUGGAAAAUGUGCCAACAUAGUUGUUAUGGGUCAUUGGGUUCAAUUGCUCACGGCAAAAUACUUUCCUCGUGGAGAACACUUAUUCUCAGCCCCUCAUAAUAACCCUCAGUUUUGGAUAUAUCUCUUUAAGUUUCAAGGUGAUUUUGAGUGCGUUCUUCUACGCUUUCCACAUUUUGGCAUGGACUACGUACCUCAUUUCUUUUUACAAUUUGGAUGGUUGAUCUAGUAAUUAAUUACUAGUAUUACAGAAGUAUCGUGCGAGAGGUUUCCGGUGUGUGGCACCUGAGCCAACGAUGAUUGGUGAAGGAGUCCCCGUCUUCACACCACUAUUCAAUUGCUGACAUAUAAAUAAGUCCAACGUUUACUUCAUCUCACAUCAUGUUCUUAUUAUGCACUGCUUGAAAAUAGAGCUUAUUUCUUUUUAAUUCUCAUAUAGAUAAGUCCAAAAUAAAAGUAAUGAAAGAGCCAAAGUACCUUCGUAUCAAAGUAAAACAUGAAAGUACAGCUUGCAGCAUUGAGAAGGUGAUCAAGUUCUUAUUAUGCACUACUCAUCGCUUAAGUUGGGAUAGUAGAGCUGCUUGUGCCAGCAUUUGCUGACAAUCUGAAGAUUACCCCUUUCUCCUGAAACGUAGAUUAAUUUCCGUUUCGGUUGAGAAUUGGGCACUCCUAGGUCAAGAAAAUUAGCAAAGGUCAUGCCCAAUUUUCUUGACCUAGAAGGUGCCCGAUUCUCAACCGAAACAAAAUCCUUAUCCUUCCUUGAAAACAGAGCUUAUUUCUUUUUAAUUCUUAUGUUUACUUUUAUGUGAGUGAAAUGGGUCCAAAAUGAUCUAUACAAAUGUUAGAUUAGAUGACAUUAUCAAUACUACCACACUACUGGAUUAGUAUGACAAAUUUCCAAAUUUCAAUGUGAGCAAGAAUAUGCCAUAUUCAGAAUUCAGAGAUUGCAACGUUAUUACUUAUUACUAGGAAAUGCUGGUUUAGUUCAGAUAUAGUAGAAGGAUACAAAAAUGAGUUUUCAUUGGAAUCAACAAUACAAGAUUUCUUUGGCCAAAUAAAUCCAUGCCUUCGUAUUAAUGCUGAUCUCACUUGAAGAUGAUUAUAUACAUUCUUAGGACAUUACAAUUAAACUAACCAAACGAAGUCAUGUGUAUAUAGUACAUACUGAUCGAGCUUAAAAUAUAUGAAAUUGGUACAUCCGGUUCCACUGGCAGCCUCCACCUUUCGCGGAGUGUGUACAAAAAGACAUUGUAUAUGUGAGCUGGAUUGAUCAGCUUGGUGUAUAUUGUACAAUGUUUAAAAAUUUGACAAUCUCCGUAAAUAUGUAUGUCCAUGUCUCUGUAUUAUCUUGUUAUCCUUGCUUUAUGUGUGCUACUCCAUCUGUUUUAAAAUAUAAGCAUGUUUAGAUAACUAUUUUGAUGAUCUAAAGGCUUUUAUAUUUCUUUACGUAGGGAGUAGAUAAUAAUACAGUAGGUGGAUCAUGAGUUCAUGACUCAUGAGUAGUGUUAUUGCUAAAUAGUGGGAUAGUGAAUUGUUGAACUUUAUUUGCGGGGAAGCUCAUUGUUAAGCUUGUGAAACAAUAUCGAAUAAGUAACUCAUUAGCACAAUAUUUUUGUUUUCUUUUGCUUCACUAAAAGGGCCCCAAAAAUGAAACAGUGACUAUUACUACUUUUUGGUAUGGAUACGUUGGAACUUCUCGUCUGUCACGUUUUGUGAUCCUAUGGAGUAAAAGAAAAGUAAAAUUGGAUACGAUGGAAUUAUAGUUGGUGAUAAUUCAACCCCGUGCAUGAUUCAUGUAGCGAUUCAGGAGCAUGUGCGGGGUGCAUGUCGCCACACAGUUUAAUUGUGUGCAUAUAUACAACAUGGAGAGUAAGUUAAAAGGCCAGGUAGCUAUAGGAGCACACGAGGUAAAAAAAGAGGGGACUACCAGCACUAGCAGUCAUGAUCGAACUGUAUAAAAUGAUAUAAAUUUAAUGCCGUAGAGAAAUAUUAAAACUAUUCAUUGAAAGUAAUUAAGUUGCAGAGAAAUAGGAGAUACCAUUUUUUUACAAGAAGUACCAAAUAUGUGAUGCCUAUAAAAAACAAGGUUUAAUUUUAUUACAAGAAGUACCAAAUUUUAUUACAAGAAGUACCAUUCUUUUACAAGAAGUACCAAAUUAAUACAACUUUACUUGAUUUUUCCCUGUCAGCCAUACCUCAUGUGUGCAGGGAACAUAGUUUAAUUUUAUUGGGGUUAUAUAUAUGUGAUGCAAGUACUUUCUUAAUACUCCAUAGAAUAAAUAAGGAGCUACUCUAAAUCUGAGAAGAAUAGAUACUACCCUGAUCUCAUCCAAUAACUCUAGUAGCCUUUUUUCCUAUUUAAAGCGAACAUGGCCAACAACGAUGAGGCCGGCGGUUCAAGCAAGCCAUUCUGGGAGCUGUCCCAGGAGCUGGAGGAAGAACCUCACCACUAUGAGGAUGCCGCGGAAGACACCGAUCCCAACUACACAACCCCUAGUGGCGUCGGGGAUGACACCACUGAUGGUGCCGCCGAGGAUGCCACCACUGAUGAUGGAAGGGAACACACAGAUGGCAGCCAACCGAAGAAGCAAUGGAAGGACCGGCGCCCGAACGUGCUCGGCAACGUUAGGGAGGAAUUUACUGAAGUGUCCUCCAGUGGGCAUCCAACGACACCCAAAGAAUUAGUGGGUACGCAGGACAACUCCGGUGCAUUCUCCCGAGCACCGUCUCGAUCAACACUGAGAACCUAAUGCAUCAAGGCCGAGCGAAUUUGCGCAAGCUCCUCUUCAUGAAGCUGCACAAACGAUACAAGUUCCCCGAUGACAUUGCAAACACACGCCUCUCAGGGAAUAAAGUGAACAGUGCCGCCCUCACGAAGAUGAGCACGGCCCUGGCUACUUCGAGAGCCUCGGUGAAGAGAAGGAUUCUAAGAGGUGAUAGUUUUGAGCAGAUCAAGGAGACAAAUCCUUCCAUCAGCGAAGCUGACUACCUGGAGUUCAAGAUCAAGUGCGAGGGCAACGCAUCCGCGUAAUCAAGUCAGUGAUGGAAAGAUAUGCGGGGCUUGUACUUAGGGGUCCACAAACUCGGUCCCGGCGGCUACAGAGUGGCGGAACCUAAAUGGUACAAGGAGGACGCGGAGCGUGCCGAGCAAGUUCUACCGCCCCUCUUCGAUAAAUACCAUGAAAAGCGGACUAGGAACUAUGUGAGGGCCCGGUACAAGGUGGACCCGGUAACAAAGGAGCUUACCACGGAUCCAAAGGUGAAGGAGCUUGAGCGUGUUCUGGUAAGGAAUACACCCCGCGUAAUUAGCUCCAUAUGGUUGCAUUCUAAUUAAUGAGGCCAAAUUUCUAAAUGGUUCACGUUCCUUCCGCAGGAAACUGAAAGCAGUAGCACGGGGUCUCCGAGCUCCCCGUUUGCCCCUUGGGACAACACUUUAAAUAGGGCGUUGAACGUAAUGAAACACAAGGAUAAGCUCAUUAAGCUAUCGUCACCUGGUCGUGUGGCCGGCGAAGGCUUGUCCACGAAAUGGUCGGAAUACUAUAAGGCUGGGCGAAAGGACAGAAAGACCAUCUCGGAAAGCCAGGAGCGCGAGGUUAAAGAACUCAAGGCACAAGUGGCAAGGAUUCCAGAGAUAGUCCAAGAGCAAGUGCGAGACCAACUUGGAGCGACGAUCACCGCCAUUAUGCCUUCCUUCCUUGAGAGGUUGCGGAGGUGGAUUGCGGGCGGCCAACAGGGCCUGCCCCCGAUUCCCAGCUUCACGGGCAACAACUCGCACAAUGCACCGACAUCGGUGUCUCCGGCGGAGGCGGCAUUGCAGGUGCCUCCGGCGUCCGCGCCUGUAUUGGAGGUUAAUGCACCCGCGUGUGGGAAGAAUACGCCGGUCGGCACCUCGACAUCAAGCGGCCCCUCUGUCACUUGCACGCCCGCCGUUGGCGGUGCCUCGACAUUAGCCGAGCUCGACGCCAUCACGGUAACUAAGCCUUGGCCGAUGACUUCAUCUCCUUGCCUUUUUGAUUGGGCAUCCCUGACGCCCUACAUGUUUUCGUAGGGCGCCGCCAACGUUCCAUGCACUCUCCUACACUUCGUGGACGGCGAGUUGAUCGAUGUCACCAAGGCCAAAAUCGUUGAACCGGGCAACCGUGUGUUCCACGGUAAUCCGAUGCCACCCACCGUGUAUAGGGUUCAACUGGUUCGGGUGCCGCGGGGCUGCGAUGACUUGUUACCUCCGUAUCGACCCACUGGGGCCGACGAAGAUGAUGUGAUGACCCUCAGCGCCUGCUUAAACUGGUCCAUGCUUUGGUCGAAGAGCCAGAUUCGUUUGGGGGCGGGGGACACCACCCCACAGACAACACCGCCAGUCGUGUCGGCGCCAAGCCAUGGCAAGACCGCCGCAACACUACCGCUGUCAGCUGAUCCGAACAUGCAUAUGGCACAUGAUCCGGACGACGACGACGAUACAAUUUCCAACAUCGAUAAGUACAUCAACGAGCAUGGGUACGGUGACGAUAACGACUUGUUCGGGCCUCCUUCUCAAGAACCCAACCCUGCAAAAGAUGAUGGCAAUCUAGCUGGUACCACGGAGAAACCCAAUUUCAACAGGCGUCGGCUGUUCAGUUCUCAAGAGACGCCUGUAGCUCCCGCCUGCACUGAGACUCAAAUAGCCGAGGUGCGAAAUAUUAUCAGCCCCAACACACUCAAGAAGGUGGUCUCUGAGCAGAACUCGAUCCCAUUACAGCAGAGGAAGCAGAAGGGACGGAAAAGAAAAACUAACAAGGGUGCGAGCCAGCCGACACCGAGUACGAUCCGUGCUCAGGAUGGGCCACCAAUAUCUAAGGAUAUUGAGAAGAGGGUGCAUGUGGCGGGUAGGCCGAUGCUACCGACUAAUCUGCUCAAUGCUGCAACCAGUGCUAUGUGGAGUCUGCAUGACGAUGUUCUUUAUAUGAAGAAGCGGCGUCUCUCCGAGAAUGAUGUGACAUACCCGGUUUUCGUGGCCAAGGUACCAUAGGGCAAGGGAUUUGUUGAUAGCACCUUCGGGCGUAUGAUCGUCCUGCGUUUUGAUGACAUCUUCACUAUGCUUAACCUUUAUCCGCUGCACUACACCUUCAUUCGGCUAUUUUCGCUUAGUAUGGAGAUGCGGAUCUUUAGAGACAAGACCCCGGACAUCAUGAUAGUCGGUCCCUUCUACAUGCGUGCCAAGCUCUUGGAUGGUGCUGGGGACCGGCAAGUCGCGAGUUCAUACCUCGAAGGCGUCAUUCUAGGGAACGCAGAUAAGGAUUACUUCCUCAUGCCUUACUUUUCUGAGUAAGUCAUCCCCUCAUCGCCCCGUAACAUAUGAUUUCUUAGAUUUCGAUUGUUCUUUUUUUUCUAACAUUCCGUGUUUUGUGCAGUGACACACAUUGCACACUCAUCCUCUUAAGCCCAAAAUAUUCCAUGGCCACAUAUUUCGACUCGGACCGUCAGUCAAAGAAAGGCUACAAAAAUAUCAAGAAAGUUCUUGAUGAUGUCCUCCCCGGCUACGCCAAAUCUGGAGGCACCUUCAUGAGGCCAAUUCUUAGGUAUGGCAAGAACGUGUUCACCCACGUAUAGACGUUCCCCUGCGUCAAGCAGCCGCUUGGCAGUCAUAAGGAUGCCUACUACGCCCUCCCUCACAUGCGGUCGAUCGUAUGGGACCAACAUCACCAUAUUCUACCAAAUGAUCUCAAAGAAUUGGCCGCACGCUUGUCGGCAAUCCAGGACAUGGACAUCAGACAAGAAUUCUAUCGCAUCCAGUCGGAGUUGGCGGAAAUCAUCUAUCAAGAUGUCCUAAACUGUCAACCGUCCAAGAGUGAAACUGACACAACGCUACAAAUGCAGGCUGACAACGACCGCACAUUCAUGACCAUCACGAAAGACGGCGGCUUCAUCCACGCUCCGGUCCCUGAGUCGAGUCGAAAGUAUUGAUGCUAUGUUGUAAUUAAACUUUAAUGAACUUGUAUGUCUCUUUAGUUUGGACAGUCGUUCAACUUAUAUGUGUAGUCGAUGCUAUUUAUUAGUAGGACCAUGAAUCAUGCUAUUAAUCUGUUAAUUUUCCCUUCCGAUCCUUUUGUUGCAUACUUAUAUAUUGCUUAUAUAUUAUCUGUGAAUUGCUACUAACAUUUUGGUUGUCUAGUGCAUAGAGAUGUCGUUGUAUGUCGUGUACAAGGGUGAGGUUCCUGGAGUCUACGACGACUAGGAGGAGUGUCGGAGACAGGUUCACCAUUUCAGCGGUAACAGUUACAAAGGGUACACCACUAGGGCGGAGGCGGAAGCUAGAUACGCACGCUAUCUAGCGGGAGAGAGGGAGCGGAGGAGGAACCGGAUGAAGAUCAGUUUCAUCGCGAUGAUGCUCAUCGUGACCGCAAUCCUCUUCUAUGUGAUGGUAGUUUAGAUAUCGACUUGUAAUGUGAAGACAAACUCGCUACUCGCGGUCUUGAGACUUGUAAUGUUCUAACUUUGUUCGUUAUUUUUGAAUUCGGAGACUAAUAUGAUGAAUUGUAUUCGGAGACUAAUCUUCUAUUGUAUUCGAUAAAUCUGUUGUUUAUAUGUUGUGUUGUUUAUAUUCUGUGCUAUAAUGUAUAUUGUAACCUGUACAAAUAUCAGAAAAGAAAAAAAAUCCUAAUAUUCAUAGUAGUGGCGCAUCAAAUUGCACUCUAGUGGCGCACCAGGUGGUGCGCCAUUAGUACCUGGGAUAGUAAUGACGCACCAGGUGGUGCGCCACUGUUGUGUAUAUUAAAAGUGGUGCACCAGGGGUGCGCCAUUACUAUUUAUUAGUAGUGGUGUGAUAAUAAUGGCGCACCUAUAGUGCGCCAUUAAUAGACAAAGUAGGUGCACCACUAAUAGCCCUUUUUCUAGUAGUGGCGUGCCAACCAAGCGCACUUCCGCGUUAACGCAAGGCCGAGCCGGGGUGGCGAAGGUGGGUUUGGACCCCCACCUCCCCCUCCCCCGGCGAGGUAGAUCCACGAACGAGCCGGAGCAGGCGAUGACACGGCUUGCCUCGACAUGGCAAGCUCCGGCGAGUCCGUCACACUCGUGACCCCACUAUCUAUCUUAGGGGUGUGUGNNNNNNNNNNNNNNNNNNNNNNNNNNNNNNNNNNNNNNNNNNNNNNNNNNNNNNNNNNNNNNNNNNNNNNNNNNNNNNNNNNNNNNNNNNNNNNNNNNNNNNNNNNNNNNNNNNNNNNNNNNNNNNNNNNNNNNNNNNNNNNNNNNNNNNNNNNNUGUUCUUGGGGUGGGAAAGAAUAGAAUAACUGCAUUGCAUCUGUCAACCAAGUGCACUCUCGCAUUAGCGAGAGGUCGAGCCAUGGGUGGGGAGGGGGGUGUCGACCCCCUCCCCAACCACCGACGAGGCCGAGCUAGGAACUGGCUGGAGAAAACAACGACCCCUAUUUGCUUGGCAUCGCAUGCUCCGGCGAGUCCAUCACGCAUGUGACCCCAUUAUCUAUCUUAGGGGUGUGGGGGUGGUGUGGUUCGUUCUUGGGGUGGUGGGAAAUAGAGUAACUGCAUUGCGCGAGUGAACCAAGCGCACUACAACAUUGGCUCAAGGCCGAGCCGGGGUGGGGAAGGUGGUUCUGGACCCCCCCUUCCCCACCACUGGCAAGGCCAGCAAUGAGCCGGAGCAGGCGACGACGCGGCUUGCCGUGAUGUCGCAUGCUCCAUCGAGUCUGUCACACACGUGACCCCACUAUCUAUCCUAGGGGAGUGGGCGUGGUGUGGUUUCUUCAUGGGGUGGUUAGAAAUAGAAUAACCGCAAUGCGCGUGUCAAUGAAGCAAAGUGUCGCGUUAGCGCGAGGCUGAGCUGUGGGUGGGGGCGGGGUCCAAACCCCCUCCCUCACCCCCUGCGAGGCCGAGCAAGGAAUAAGCCACAACAACUGAUGACGUGGCUUGCCACAGAUUCGCAUGCUCCGGCAAGUCCAACACACACGUGACCCCACUAUCUAUCUUAGGGGCGUGUGGGGAGAUUCGGUUUGUUCUGGACUCCCCUCCCCCACCCUAGCGAGGCCGAGCCAGGAACGAGCCGGAGAAGGCGACGACCCGGCUUGCCGCAGUGUCGCCUGCUUUGGCGAGUCCGUCACACAUGUGACACCACUUCUAUCUUAGGGGUGUGGGGGUCAUACCAUUUGUUCGUGGGGUGGGGGAAAAUAGAGUAACUGCACUGCGCUUGUCAACCAAGUGUACUAUCGCGAUAAUAUGAUGCCAAGACGGGGGUAGGGGAAGGGAGUGUGGACACCCCUUCCCCCAAGCCCUGCGAGGCCGAGCCAGGAAGGAGCCGGAGCAGGCGGCGAAACAACUUGUUGCGGAGUUGCAUGCUCCGGCAAGUCCGUCACACACCUAACACCAUUAUCAAUCUUAGGGGUGUGUGGGGUGCGGUUUGUUCUUGGGGUGGCGGAAAUGGAAUAAACGCACAACGCUUGUCAACCAAGCGCACUACCGCAUUAGCGAGAGGCCAAGCUAGGGGUGGGGGUGUCUGGACCCCGUCCCACACCCCGACAAGGCCGAGCCAGGAACAAGCCGGAGCAGGCGACGAUGUGGCUUGUUGUGGCAUAGCAUGCUCCAGCAAGUUUGUUACACACUUGACCCCACUAUUUAUCUUAGGGUUGUGGGGGUGGUGCUUUUGUUUUUGCGGUGGGGGAAAAUAGAAUAACCGCACUACACUUGUCAACCAGGCGCAUUGCCGCGUUAGCGCAUGGCCGAGCUGGGGGUCUGGAAGGGGAGUCUGGACCCCCUCCCCUAUCCAGGCUCAGCCAAGCCAAGGGUAUGGAGGGGGGGUGGACCCCCUCCCCCACCCUGGCUUGGCCAAGCCAAGGGUGUGUGUGUGUGGGGGGGGGUGGACCCUCUCCCCCACCCUUGCGCGUCCAAGCCAUGAAUGAAUCCGAGCAGGCGAUGACGCGGCUUGCCGCGGCGUCGCAUGCUCCGGCGAGUCCGUCACACACGUGACCCCACUNNNNNNNNNNNNNNNNNNNNNNNNNNNNNNNNNNNNNNNNNNNNNNNNNNNNNNNNNNNNNNNNNNNNNNNNNNNNNNNNNNNNNNNNNNNNNNNNNNNNNNNNNNNNNNNNNNNNNNNNNNNNNNNNNNNNNNNNNNNNNGGUGUGGGGGUGGUCCGGCUUCUUCUUGGGGUGGUGGAAAAAUAGAAUAAAAGCACUGUGCUUGUAAACCAAGCGCACUACCGCAAUGGCGAGAGGCCGAUCCUUGGUGGGGGAGGAGGGGUCAGGACCCCCUCCCCCGCCCCCGAGGAGGUCGAACCAGGAACAUGCCGGAGCAGGCGAUGACGCGGCUUGCCGCAUCGUUGCAUUCUCUGGUGAGUCCGUCACACACAUGACCCUACUAUCUAUCUUAGGGGUGUGGGGGUGGUGCAGUUUGUUCUUGGAUGGGUAGAAAUAGAAUACCCGCAAUGCAUUUGUGAACCAAGCGCACUACCACCUUAGCGCGAGGCCGAGCUGGAGUGGGGGAGGGGCUUUGGACCCCCUCCCCACCCCUGGCUGGGCCAAGCCAAGAACGAGCCGGAGCAGGCGACGACGCGGCUUGGUCGACGUGAUAUGCUCCGGCAAGUUCAUCACACACAUGACCCCACAAUCUAUCUUAGGGGUGUGGGGCAUUGUUUGUGUUGUUAUUGGGGUGAAAAAAAUAGAAUAAUCGUACUACGCCUGUCAACCAAGCGCAUUGUCGCGUUAGUGCGAGGUGAAUCCAUGAAUGAGUCGGAGGAGGUGAGGACACGGCUUGGCGCGUCGUCGCAUGCUCCGGCCAGUACGUCACACAUGUGACCCCACUAUAAUUCUUAUGGGUGUGGGGAGCGGUGCGGUUCUUUCUUGGGUUGGGUGCGGGGGGAAUAGAAUAACCACCUUGUGCGUGCCAACCAAGCGGACUGCCGCGUUAGCGCAAGGCCGAGCCGGGGGUAGCGAAGGGGGUAUGGACCAGACCUCCCCGACCCCAGGGAGGCGAAGCCAGAAUGAGCCGGAGCACGCGACAACGCGGCUCCCCGCGUGAUAUGUCCCAAACGUAUCUAUAAUUUCUGCUUGUUCCAUGAUCUUUUGGGUGACAUUGUUAUAUGUUUUGCUACACGUUUAUACCAUUUUACACAUAUUUGGACUAACCUACUAACUCAAUGCACCCAGUGCCAGUUUCUGUCUACUGAUGUCUAUUUUGUAGGGGCUUUUACCAAUUUUCCAAAGCCCGAAAAAUUCCAGGAAAAUAUAUAAAAAAUCAGUGAAACAAAAGCUUCCGGAUUACCGAAGACGGGACACAGGGGGGCCAGGGGCUGCCUAGGCGACCUGCUGGCGCGGCCAGGCCCUAGGUCGCGCCACAAGGUUGCCUGGGUGGGCCCCACCUCCUUCGGUGCCCUCCUUUGGCCUAUAUUUAGAUUCCCGAGAGGAAACCCUUCCAUAACUUCCAUAAUCGCAAAUUUCUCCAUUGUUCCGGUGCCGCGGCGCUUCCAAGACCGGGAGUGUUAGGAGACCUCUUCCUGGGACCCUGCCGGACGGAGGAUUGACCUCCGGGAGCUUCUCCACCGCCAUGGAUGCUUCCCGGACAUGCCAUGAGUAGUCCUCCUUCGACCAUGAGUCCAUGACCAGUAGCUAUGUGAUGUCUUCUAUCCAAUCUUGUGCUUCAAUGGUUAGUCCUUGUAAGCUACCCUACAUGAUCAAGGCAUCUAUGUAAUUCUCUUGCUAUUGCUAUGCUCGUUUUGUUGGGAUCCGAUGGAUUAUGAGAUUAUGUUCAGAUUGUUAUGAGUUACAUAUUUGAUUAUCCUUUUAUAUUAUGUUCCUUAGUGAUUCAUACAUGUUCUUUGUUGCUAUUUAUUGCUUUGGCCGGGUAGUAGAUUGUAACUCCAAGAGGGAGGAUUAUGCAUGAUUGUGGGUUCAUGCCCCUCGAUAUCUAGCUUGAGUGACAAAAACAUGAGACUAGGGGAUGUGUUGUUGCCACUAGGGAGAAAACAAGGGUGCUUGUGACAACGGUUGCAAGGAUUGUUUACCUUACGCAAAGUUCAUUAAUGCAGUUGUCUGUUGCUUUGAGUUUACACUUUGGGUUGGGCUCGCAACUUAAUACCGGCGAGAUGUUCUGGAUAGAUAUCUCAAGGUGGAUGACUAGUAAGUAGAUGCUGAUGAAUAAACAGUCUACUUGUCUUGGCGUACUGCGUAUUACUAUUGAACCUCUAACUAUCUAGUAGCAUAAUUAGCAUUGCGGUGCGUUCAUAAUUCUGUCAAUUGCCCAACUGUGAUUUGUUUACCCAAGCAUAGCUGUUUAUCGUCUUUUGGGAUAGAGACAUCACUAGUGAACAUCAUGAGACUCCGGUCCAUAUCACCACCAUUGUUUACACCUCCAUCAUUUUCCGCUUUGAGUUAAUUCUCCGUUGCUAUCACUAUUACUUUCCCGCUUGUGUUUUGAUCCUUUGCAAACUACAAGGCUGUAGAGAUUGACAACCUCUGUGUACUCGUUGGGAGCAAAGUUAUUUGUUGUGUGUGCAUGUCCACGUCUUCUGCUAGCGCGAGGGUGGAAGACACCUACUUGUUGAUCCUAGGAGUCCUCCUGGUUCGAUAAACCUUAUAGUUCUCGUGUGAGGGAAAAUUUGCUGCUGACUACAUCUCAACCUUCCCCUUGGGGUAAUGAACGGGAUGCGAGAAGUAUAUUCACCAUCUCGUCAUCAAGCAAAGUUUCCUGGCCCCGUUACCGGGGCCUCCAGUCUUCAAGAUAGGGGAGUUGCAUGCCAUCCUUUAACAUUUCUUUUUAGUCUUGUUAGUUUGCUUUCUAGUUUUUGCUUUAGAGUCUUAUACCAAAGAUCACAAAAAAAUUAGUUACUUUGUUUUGUUUAGUUAGUAUGUCUAAAUCCUUUGCCUCUAGUGUUGCACCCGAAGGAGAGAUUCUCACCUUGAAACAAAGGGUUGGAGAAAGUUUGAAAGAUGCUUGGUAUAUAAUUAAGAAUUCUCAAGAUAGAGCCACCAAGAAGAAAUCCACGACUGUUUUUCUUAGAAUUUUUAUGUUGUCAUUACUUCUUGGCAUAGGUUUGUUCUAGACACAGCAAUAGGAUGGAAUUUCUUGGAAUCUCCCGUUGGGGAGGCUCUUAACUGUUGGGGAACGUCGCAUGGGAAACAAAAAAUUUCCUACGCGCACGAAGACCUAUCAUGGUGAUGUCCAUCUACGAGAGGGGAUUUCCGAUCUACGUACCCUUAUAGAUCGCACAGAAGAAGCGUUAGUGAACGCGGUUGAUGUAGUGGAACGUCCUCACGUCCCUCGAUCCGCCCCGCGAACCGUCCCACGAACCGUCCCGCGAUCCGUCCCACGAUCUAGUGCCGAACGGACGGCACCUCCGCGUUCAGCACACGUACAACUCGACGAUGAUCUCGGCCUUCUUGAUCCAGCAAGAGAGACAGAGAGGUAGAUGAGUUCUCCGGCAGCGUGAUGGCGCUCCGUAGGUUGGUGGUGAUCUAAUCUCAGCAAGGCUCCACCCGAGCUCCGCAGAAAUGCGAUCUAGAGGUAAAACCGUGGAGGUAUGUGGUCGGGCUGCCUUGGAAAAGUUGUCUCAAAUCAGCCCUAAUAGCUCCAUAUAUAUAGGAGGAGGGGAGGGGAGGCUUGCCUUGAGGCUCAAGGAGCCCCAAGGGCUGCACCACCAAGGGAGGAGGAGUCCUCGUCCAAUCCUAGUCCAACUAGGAUUGGAAGGUGGAGUCCUUCUCUCCUUUCCCACCUCCUUUUUUCUUUUCUUUUCUCUUUGAUUUUCUAUCUAUGGCGCAUAGGGCCUUCUUGGGCUGUCGCACCAGCCCACCAAGGGCUGGUGCGCCACCCCCAAGGCCUAUGGGCUUCCCCGGGGUGGGCUGCCCCCGCGGUGAACACCCGGAACCCAUUCGUCAUUCCCGGUACAUUCCCGGUAACUCCGAAAACCUUCCGGUAAUCAAAUGAGGUCAUCCUAUAUAUCAAUCUUCAUUUCUGGACCAUUACGGAAACCCUCGUGACGUCCGUGAUCUCAUCCGGGACUCUGAACAACAUCCGGUAACCAACCAUAUAACUCAAAUACGCAUAAAACAACGUCGAACCUUAAGUGUGCAGACCCUGCGGGUUCGAGAACUAUGUAGACAUGACCCGAGUGACUCCUCGGUCAAUAUCCAAUAGCGGGACCUGGAUGCCCAUAUUGGAUCCCACAUAUUCUACGAAGAUCUUAUCGUUUGAACCUCAGUGCCAGGGAUUCAUAUAAUCCCGUAUGUCAUUCACUUUGUCCUUCGGUAUGUUACUUGCCCGAGAUUCGAUCGUCAGUAUCCGCAUACCUAUUUCAAUCUCGUUUACCGGCAAGUCUCUUUACUCGUUCCGUAAUACAAGAUCCCGCAACUUACACUAAGUUACAUUGCUUGCAAGGCUUGUGUGUGAUGUUGUAUUACUCAGUGGGCCCCAAGAUACCUCUCCGUCACACGGAGUGACAAAUCCCAGUCUCGAUCCAUACUAACUCAACGAACACCUUCGGAGAUACCUGUAGAGCAUCACUAUAGUCACCCAGUUACGCUGCGACGUUUAAUACACACAAAGCAUUCGUCCGAUGUCAGUGAGUUAUAUGAUCUCAUGGUCAUAGGAACAAAUACUUGACACGCAGAAAACAGUAGCAACAAAAAGACACGAUCAACAUGCUACGUCUAUUAGUUUGGGUCUAGUCCAUCACGUGAUUCUCCUAAUGACGUGAUCCAGUUAUCAAGCAACAACACCUUGUACAUAGUCAGAAGACACUGACUAUCUUUGAUCAACUGGCUAGCCAACUAGAGGCUUGCUAGGUACAGUGUUUUGUCUAUGUAUCCACACAUGUAUAUAAGUCUUCAUUCAAUACAAUUAUAGCAUGGAUAAUAAACGAUUAUCUUGAUACAGGAAUUAUAAUAAUAACUAUAUUUAUCAUUGCCUCUAGGGCAUAAUUCCAACAGUCUCCCACUUGCACUAGAGUCAAUAAUCUAGCCCUCACAUCAUCAUGCGAAUUACAUUGUAAUAAAUCUAACACCCAUACAGUUCUGGUGUUGAUCAUGCUUUGCCGGUGGAAGAGGUUUAGUCAGUGGGUCUGCUACAUUCAGAUCCGUGUGCACUUUGCAUAUAUUUACGUCCUCCCCUUCGACGUAGUCGCGGAUGAGGUUGAAGUGUCGUUUGAUGGGCACUGAGUCUUACUCAAUCUCGUACCUUGUAAAACUAGCAAGAACCCUUUCUUGGACUGUUCCAUUUUGAACCUCUUCAAAACUUUAUCAAGGUAUGUGCUUUGUGAAAGUCCUAUCAGACGUUUCGAUCUAUCCCUAUAGAUCUUAAUGCCUAGAAUGUAAGCAGCUUCUCCUAGGUCCUUCAUAGAGAAACUUUUAUUCAAGUAAUCCUUUAUGCUCUCCAAAAACUCUACGUUGUUUCCAAUCAGCAAUAUGUCAUCCACAUAUAAUAUUAGAAACGCCACAGAGCUCCCACUCACUUUCUUGUAAAUACAAGAUUCUCCAACCACUUGUAUAAACCCAAAUGCUUUGAUCACCUCAUCAAAGCGUUUGUUCCAACUCCGAGAUGCUUGCACCAGUCCAUAAAUGGAUCGUUGGAGCUUGCAAACCUUGUUAGCAUUUUUAGGAUCGACAAAACCUUCGGGUUGCAUCAUAUACAAAUCUUCCUUAAGGAAACCGUUAAGGAACGCCGUUUUGACAUCCAUCUGCCAGAUUUCAUAAUCAAAAAAUGCAGCUAUUGCUAACAUGAUUCUGACGGACUUAAGCAUGGCUACGGGUGAGAAUGUCUCAUCGUAGUCAACUCCUUGAACUUGUGAAAAACCCUUUGCCACAAGUCGAGCUUUAUAAAUGGUCACAUUGCCGUCAGCGUCCGUCUUCUUCUUAAAGAUCCAUUUGUUCUGAAUAGCCUUGCGGCCCUCAGGUAGUACUUCCAAAGUCCACACUUUGUUCUCAUACAUGGAUCCUAUCUCGGACUUCAUGGCCUCCAGCCAUUUGUUGGAAUCUGGGCCCACCAUUGAUUCUUCAUAAUUUGCAGGUUCAUUGUUGUCUAACAACAUGAUUGACAAAACAUGAUUACCGUACCACUCUGGAGCAGCAUGUGGUCUCGUCGACCUGCGUGGUUCGAUAGGAACUUGAACCGGAGUUUCAUGAUCAUCAUCAUUAACUUUCUCCUAAACCGGCGUCGCAAUGACAGGGGUUUCCCCUUGCCCUGCGCCACCAUCCAGAGGGAUGAGGGGUUCGACAACCUCAUCAAGUUCUAUCUUCCUCCCACUCAAUUCUCUCGAGAGAAAAUCCUUCUCGAGAAAAGCUCUGUUUUUAGCAACAAACACUUUGCCCUCAGAUUUGAGAUAGAAGGUGUACCCAACUGUCUCUUUUGGGUAACCUAUGAAGAUGCACCUUUCCGCUUUGGGUUCUAGCUUUUCAGGCUGAAGCUUUUUGACAUAAGCAUCACAUCCCCAAACUCUAAGAAACGACAACUUUGGCCUUUUGCCAUACCAUAGUUCGUAUGGUGUCGUCUCAACGGAUUUUGAUGGUGCCCUAUUUAAAGUGAAUGCAGCUGUGUCUAAUGCAUAACCCCAAAACGAUAACGGAAAAUCGGUAAGAGACAUCAUAGAUCGCACCAUCUCUAAUAAAGUACGAUUACGACGUUCGGACACAUAAUUACGCUGUGGUGUUCCAGGCGGUGUCAACUGUGAAACAAUUCCACAUUGUCUUAACUGAGCACCAAACUCGAAACUCAGAUAUUCACCCCUAUGAUCAGACCAUAGGAACUUGAUCUUCUUGCUCUGAUGAUUUUCAACUUCACUCUGAAAUUGCUUGAACUUUUCAAAUGUUUCAGACUUGUGCUUCAUUAAGUAGACAUAACCAUAUCUACUCAAAUCGUCAGUGAAGGUGAGAAAAUAACGAUAUCCGCUGCGUGCCUCCACGCUCAUCGGACCCACACAUCGGUAUGUAUGAUUUCCAACAAGUCACUGGCACGCUCCAUUGUUCCGGAGAACGGAGUUUUAGUCAUCUUGCCCAUGAGGCAUGGUUCGCACGUGUCAAGUGAAUCAAAGUCAAGUGACUCCAAAAGUCCAUCGGUAAGGAGUUUCUUCAUGCGCUUUACACCAAUAUGACCUAAGCGGCAGUGCCACAAAAACAUGGCGCUAUCAUUGUUAACUCUAACUCUUUUGGUCUCAAUGUUAUGUAUAUGUGUAUCAUCACUAUCAAGAUUCAAUAUGAACAAUCCUCUCACAAUGGGUGCAUGACCAUAAAAGAUGUUACUCAUAGAAAUAGAACAACCAUUAUUCUCUGACUUAAAAGAGUAACCGUCUCGCAAUAAAAAUUACUCUGCCAGUGCAUCCAAACCCAUCACAUGAUACGCUUUGUCAUACAUAAGCCUCAUUAUAUCUUUCCUCAAAACAACCACCAUACCUACCUAUUAAGGCAUUUCCAUAGCCUUCCCGAGAUACAUUGCCAUGCAACAUCCACCAUCUCAUGACUUGAUCAUCAUGUCAUGCAUGCUUUUGCUUGAUCGUAGAGCCGCAUGAUAGUUGGGCCUUGCUCCCAUUAUUGCUACAUGACGCGCUAGUAUCAUUGCAUAUCCUGCUACACUGGCAGUGGCAUACAUUUGCAUACAUCAUGAUAGUUUUCACUUGUCUUUAUGUUGAGUACUUCCUAUAAAGUGUGAUGAUCUUCUUUUUAUUCAUGUAAAACAUAUAGUGUUCCCCUUAAGAGAGGAAAAGAUCCCAAAGAGGACAAACAAAAGAUCCUAAAGAGGACAGAGUAAAAGAAAAAGAAAUAAAAAGAGAGAACGGGCAACACUACUAUUCCUUUUGAAGAUCCACACUCGUACUCCACUGCUAUAUUGGUACAACAUAGAGAUUAUCAUUCAUGCAUAACUAUGUGGGGACCCUUACACUAUAGAACUUGGUUUGCAUAUUCCAAUGAUGAGCCUCCUCAAAUGAUCUCUAGGUCUUCAUGAGAAAACAAGUUGGAUGCACCCCCACUAGUUCCAUUGGAAUGCUUACCUUAGCUCAUAUGUGCAUCCGUUAUAUGGCAAUCCCUACUCCUCACAUCAUAUCUAUCAUUUGGCUUUCUCUUGCCUAUGGUUGUCCUCAUUGAUGUGAGCCUUUCACACCUUUUUGUCUUCCUUCCCCAUCAUUAUUAUAUUUUCCAUCCUAAGUGCCAACAUAUCUUGCUUACACUCAUCCAUUGCAUGAGUGCUCAAAGUCGAAAGGGAGAGGAUCAUUUUGACUUGUGCCUCACUAGUGGUCUGGGGAUGAGUCAAAAUAAGAUUCCAAAGGGGACCAAGUGUGAAUUUUAGUAGAUUGAGUUCUCAAUUAAAAAAUAUUUUAUGAUCUAGACCCAUCUCCCACUUCUUGCACGCAAACACCAUUUGGGGACAUUCGAGUCACGGACAGCGGGAGCUCUUGCACAUUUAUGUUCUUACUUUGCUAAACUCAAUACUAGAUAUAUACUCUUGCUUGUUAUUGUCUUGACUUGAAUUUCAUAUCUCACUUGCUUUACUUUGAAGUUCUUAUAUGUGUUUUAGCAUGUCACCACAGAAGUUAUUAUGUUA
rnacentral:lncRNA from 1 species